rnacentral:lncRNA from 1 species
UUUUUUUUUGUUUUUUGGUUUGUAAUUUUAUUUGAGCACAAGUCUGUAUCAAUUGAUAAGACUCGGAGACAUUUCAUUUGGAUUGCUGUGCCAGGCCUACAAAUAUGCCAAUCGGGCUGAAUGUGCAUUCAACAAUAGUAGUAGUAUAGAUGGACCAUAAGUGGCACGCAUUGGAAAGGGCCAAGAUGCUGGCUAAAAAAAGGAUGUUGUUGUAGCCAAAAAAAGUACAGCGACCUGGCUUAUGUAUGUUAGUUGAUAUUAUUGAUCCAUAUACUCUAUAAGUGUUUAUAUGUCUGUUAGUUUUGUACAUUCUUGGUUGAUUGACUCGGUAUUUGAAUCUUGAUACAUCGCUUGUGUACAUAUCUAAAUGGGAGUACACAUUAUGCUGCGUGUGACAUUUGAGUUGGACAUGAAGUGUUCCAAAUAUUCGAAUUCACCUUAAACUAGAUUCUAGUUUCUGAAUUUGAGUAUCGGCAUUUGUAAACCAUAUUCAUAUAUGAUAGUGGAAUACAUCUUUGUCGUCCUUUUGAAGAUAUAUAAAAACACAUAGAAUGAUUUAUAAAGAUUCAUAUAGGAAUACAAAAUGGAUUCGAAUUUAGUUGCCAGGGUAAACGUGGAUGCUUAUUGUCCCAAAAUUCGAAAGAAGCAGCAAAAUGUCCACUCCCACGUCGGCUGCCCGAAGCCAAGUGUUUGGGAGAUGGAAAUUACUGUCUACCCAUUACACGGACAAUCCAUUGGCCCGAUUUCCACUGCUCUAAAUAGGGGAAGGUUAGUAACUUCAAUUAGACGUGACACGACCGCCUCUGAGCCCAUUCCGACACGGUGGGCGUCAAACAUGGGCGGCAAAACUCAUUUGACUCAAGCUCGUCCGAAAGACCUCUGUUUCUCCCUCCAUUCCCCAUUCAUACACGGUGGGCAGCAAAACAAACUCAACUCGGCCGAAAUUGAUGUAGGCAAAUAUUUUCAAUAGGGGCAGGUUUGUAACUUCACUCAGACGUGACACAACCGCCCUACCUGUCAGCCCCGUUCAUACAUGUGGGCGCCAACCAUGGGCGCCAACCACCCUCUCCUCGCCUAAAAUCCCUCUGGGCAAAUAUUGGCGAGAUGCGAGAUUACCGUCCUAUCCCCAACCGACGAGACGUCCAAAUUUUAAACGGGGGCUAAGUUCGUAACUUUCCCAUAUUUCAGACAGGCGCGUCCCAAAAACAUGGUUCCCCGUACCUCUCCCUCCAUUUUCCCAUUCAUUCUCCCCACACCAGCCUCCGUCCGCCACCCCAUCCAUCGCCGCCGUCCUCCACCACAUCCAUCGCCACCGUCCUCCACCAUGCCGGAGCACCUACCAAGACCGCGUCGUCCACUGCUAGAGAUGGACAUUUCUCAUCCACGGCGACGGACCAAUAGCCUUGCAUCGCGUCCUCUCGCUUCAUUGGCGCCGUCGUCCUCUUUGCCGGGGCCGCUCACACGACCUUCUCUUCCACCGCAACGGGACUUAUCCCCCGAUGCACCCGUCUACCGUCGCAGAUCUGCUUCAACGCCACCGACAGCCAUCGCACCCCCGAUGCCUACAUGGUGCCGCAAGAGAGGUGGUACUUCAUAUCUCCUCAACUUUUUGAUCUCAACCAGAAAAUAGAUCUUAACUUGGUUACUCUACUUUCUUUUCAGCUCUUAGAAUUUAGUUCUUAGUUCGAAGCAAACAAUGGAUGCUAAAUAUCAUUUCUCCGGUUUGCAGCUUCAAAUCUGCCAUGGCACAGCCAUAAUACGGUUUAAUUGAUCAUGCUUAGGGUUUAAUUGAUCAUGUUGGUUCCGUGGUGGUUUCUUUAAAAUAAAUCGGAGGGGAAACCCUCUUUUGCUAAAAAAAAUGCUUAGAGUUUCCCCCUUUUAUGAUCACUAUACGAUCAGAAUACGUGCUUCGUGUCAUAAUAACACUGCUCCACCCAUCAAGCUAAACAAGCUUAAUUGUUCAAAUACGAAUCUGAUAUUAUUAAAACAGAGUUGUUUAAUUGGUCAGCUAAAUGUUCCUAAAUUAGUUUCGAAAAUGCAUGUUCGCCGCUCGGGUGUGUAUCUCUACAGGGUGCCCACGGUGGGCCGGCCCACCCUGGGAUUUUGGGUCGUCCCAGGCCCCGAUUCCCCUCUGUUCUGCUGCGCGCUUCCGAUCUCUACUCGCCCCCAGCCGCCUGCCUCGCCGGCGACUUGCCGUCCCUGGACGGCAUGACUCUAGGAGGAGACGCCAGACUAACAGGAGGCCAGGAGCCGCUCGCCCAACAGCGUCACCGCUGCCCGGGCGCACCGCCGUGCCUACCUUCCCAGUCCGUUCAGGGCUCAGGCGUGCAGCACACACCAAGCCAACCCGAUUUAUCCUAAGAUACGUCCUCAACACUCAGCAGCCACUCCUCAUCACCCAUUUUCUAAUUGAUUCAUUACUCAUUAGGCAGGACUGUCAUUAGGGUUUGUUGUGUGCUCAGUGCUACCUACACUUAAUGGUUCAGAUGUAUUUCGGUAAUCUUUAGUACCUCUAAAGUUCACAGGGUUUUCAAAAUUCCGGCCCUCGGAACAGAAACUAGUCAUUUUGGAUUGUUGGUCGUAGUGACAUUGACCCAGAUUACUACUGCAAGCCAGGUUUGUUGACAAUUUUACUUGUCUUUCUUACUCAUUCGAUAUAAUAUCCAAUUAUUCACGUCGAUUAGUUGAAAACAAUAAGUGCUAGACAAACUUCUUUAUUCAGAUUUUGGAUGGUCUCUUACUGCAGUUACAAUUCUGCAUACUUGUCCUAGUAAGCUCACAAGUAAACGAUUGAUUCACUACAUCUAUGCUUGCCUUGUCAUAUUUGUUGUCAAUAUUCUUUUAGGGUGGACCACCCUGUUUCUAAAUACUGGAACCGUAGACAUGAGGGAAUAGUAUUUCUCUAUGUGAUCUCUUCCAUCAUGUGUGGGUAACGAACACUGCAUUGUAUAGAAAGAAAGUGUCAUUUCUAGCUUUUACAUAGGUUUCGAUCUUUUAAAUGGAAUACAAUCUGCCUACUUGCUUUGUGUCACACUACCAACACUCCACCCUUGAAGCUAAACAUUACGCCACUCAUAAUUGCUUAGUUUAUUUGUUCAAAUACGAAUUUCAUAUGAUUCUAAUGUUCCUACUUCAGUUUUGAAAUGUGUGCCUGCCUGUUAUAGAGACAUAAAGGGUUUGUAUUUCUGUGUGUGGUCUGGUCAGCACGGUUGGGGAGGUGAACUUUGCAUAUGCAGGGGUUUAUAGGGAGACACUCUCCGAGUUGAAUCCGCAAUGCAUUCCAUAGAUAAUCUGACUACUUUUUAUGUUUUCAUGAAUCUCAGAUUCUGAACAGCAUCAUAAUAAUUAUGAGCUUGCGCGCAUGAAAAGAAUAAACCAGAACAAUGCCAUGGCUGUCAAACUUGGCAUUAAGGGACUGAAAUCAAGUCUGGAUGCAAUGCAAUGCAAACGCUCUCCACCUACAGAUUCAUGCUCAGAAUAUGAUCCUAACAGUGAUUCUGAGCUAGAGGGAGACCUAAGUCAAUGUAGCUCCCUAGUGGAGGAGUCAGAGGAAGAUGCCCUAUCUUAUUCACCCAUCAAGGUACUUGCUCUAACUUUCCAAGGUUACAUUACUCGCACAUAUCUUGCAACUGAUGCUUUGCAUUGCUUCUACUUUGUUGAACUGCCAUUAGCUUAGUUUACACAUCGUGUAUGUGAAUACGCCCUGCCUAUCCAUUUUCAGUACAUAUUCCAUCUGUCAUCAUACCAUAUUUAUCCAUUCAAAUGUUGUUCUUGUGUAUCAGACGUUCAAAAGGAAGAGGGCGAUUGCUGAUCGUGGAGGAGCACAAGCAAAGUAUUUGGAAAAGGUAGUGGCACCUGAUAAAUCAAAUAGCCCAUUAGGUGUAGUUGCAAUAUCACCUGACCCACAAAAUACCCCAACUCUAGCAGACUCUAGCCCUACUACACUGGUCAUUUCUGAUGCCCCAACUCAGCAGACCCCAACUGCAGCAAACAGUAUGAUUAUGCCAGUUGACAUAGCACCAGCUGUACGACGCAAAACCCCCAUUCCAGCAAAGAGUACACCAAAUCCAGUUGCCAAAUCCCUUUUCGAACCAGAGAGAGCCCCAAUUGCAGCAAAUAGACCCCUGUUCCAUUUCUUCCCAGUUUAGAAGACGAAGCUUAUGUUGUUGUCAGGAACUUUGUGCGCAUCUUUCCUUCAUGGAAAGAUUAUACCGUAGACACGGAACAAUUUCCAGUCUUCCUCCGCAACUUAUGCGUAAGUAAUGUACUAAUGUUAUUCAUGGUCAUUACUGCAUAUGUUUCUGCUGACAGAAGACACAAGAUUUCAUUCUUUUAAAUAGGCGAGGAGCAAACUGGAUUGUGAUGAUGAGCAGGGGUUGGUUGCGCUUUUCAAGCACUCGUUGAUGAAGUAUCAUUCCUACCUGAGGCAAGCGCACUUCGAUGGCAAGCCUCUGAAUGAAAUUUCUGUAAAGUCUCCGGUGCUACAUUUAUCCGACGGUGACUGGAAUAAUCUUGUUACACAUUGGUCUCGGCUACAGCGUAAGGUACUGUCUAUGAUAUCACAUCACAAUUUGAACUACAUUUCUGCAUUUGCCUUAAUGUCUCACUUGUACGAAAACUGUUAGUAGAAGAACAUUCGUUCUCAAGGGACCACAGAAUCUCGCAACUAUACUGCACACUGCAUUGCUCUUGUGAGUACCUCUUGCCAUGUAUGACCAUACUUACUUUCAUAGCUGUUUGAUUAUGUAGCAUCACUGCACAUGUUAGCCUCGUAAUCGUCCAUUUGGUGGACAUUAUAAGAUCCGUAUGGACUCUUACAUAAAUUUAGAAUCAACCCAAUGCUUUUGAAGAGGUUUAGCUCUGCAAUUCUCUUGUAAGGACUGAACGUGGUCUAUCACUGUACUUACAUUAACAACUACUCCCUCCGUCCCAUAAUAUAAGAACGUUUUGUACAGUACACCAGUGUUCAAAACACUCUUGUAUUAUGGGAAGAGGGAUUGGUUCAUUUUGUAGCAUUCUGCAUCUUAUCUCCCUCGCCCACCAUUUACUAAAAAAGAUCAGAUCUAUAUUUAAUCUUACCAACAAGUAGUACACACACAAUGCCAGUGCAGAAGUGUAGCCCAUUGCUCUUGUCAGUACAUUUUGUCCUGUAACGCUUGUACUUCCAGGGAUUGGUAGUUGAUUAUGUAGCAUCAAUCUGCAUCUUAUCUUCAUUAUCCUCUAUCCCUUCCAGUAUUAUCAUAUCUAUAAUUACUCUCUACAAAAUGUAGAGUACAGGCAAUGCUUAUGAAGAAGAUUCUGUGCUGAAAUUCUUGAGUUAUCCUUCCCUUGACAUGGAGAAGGGCAUUAUAAAGCCAGUGUUAACUGUUAAUGUAAGUCGGUCCUUCUAAAGCCUUUAUCCUCAACUGUUGUUUAAUUUGCUCAUACUCCCUAUCGUUUACUGCUGUUUAGUUUGCUGUUUCUACCAAAAUGCAUGUUCGUAAGAACCGUAAGUUCUAAGUUUUACUUGUAAAACCAAAUUCCUUAUUCAUACCAUGCACAUUACUUAAUACUCCCUAUAUGUAUGCUUGUUUUUGUGGAUCUAUAAUCCAGUGUGUGGUGAAGCAGCCCACGUUUGCACCUUGUCAUCUCCUGUUUUAUCUUACUGAUGUGGCUGAUGAUAUGAACAACAUGCCAUGCACAUUAUCCAAAAUAGAUACAAUGAUUUUCUUUGCCCUUCAUCUAUGCUUGUUAUGUUGACAUGGUAAUCCAGUAGUGUGGUGAAGCUCCCUGCAUUAUGAACAAUGCCAAAUUAUGCUAUUGAUAUUUUGAACUUACUCUUUAUUUUCUAAUUUGAAAUUGGAUAGAAUUGACAGAACAGUUAUCAUCUUUGUUUAUACACGUGCAAAACCUGUCGUCUCUUUGCUUUGUUUCAGGGUGAUAUGCCUGAUGGCAUGCACAAGUCUGCUGAAGGCUAUGAGACAAACCCAACAUGUAUUGCACCAAAGAAGGCAAAACAUCUUGAAUAUAGCGAGACAACCCCAAAGUCUUGUCUUGAUGCAGUGUCCAACUUACUUGAGACUAACAGUCAGACAAGCUCACAAAAUUCGUUGUCUGAAUCAGUUCGACUUCUUCAGUCCCAAGUUCUAGCAGAAAGGCAUUCUGCAACUCAACUUCGACUUGAAGUCCUAUCUCUAAGAAAGAUUGCGGAGAACACCAAUGAGAACCUCAUCGCUAAACAGCUACACCUGGAAGCUAUGACCGACAUGCUAGGCCGGUCUCACAGCCUUGCUCAGCAGCUUGCGCAGCAGUUCCCCCGCAAGGCUAACCUUUCUUGAACUGUCUUGGAAGUGGUCUCGGUUCAGUAUUAUUUUGUUACGCUGCAAUGGUGCCAAGUUUUUGUAAUCUGCUUCUUCGUUGCGCUUUAUGAUCACUGGUGGCGAACUUUGAUGCCCAGUGGAUGUAAUAUGUGUAAUAGCCGUGAUAGCCUAGCAUAAGUUGCUUGCUUAUUUAUUUCCUUGUUGUCUUGUUUAUUUGUUUGCUUGUAGUCAGUGCAGUUCUUUUUCCGCGGUUUGCUAGUGGCUGCAAUAACCUAUUUUUUAAAACUAGGCCACAAUAACCAUGGGCUAAUAUUUACUGUAGUGACACUGGGCCUCCUACGGGCCGUAGAAACAGUGGGCCUUCUACGGGCCGUAGAAACAGUAGGCCUUCUACGGGCCGUAGAAACAAUGGGCCUUCUACGGGCCGUAUCAUCAAUGGGCCUUAUACGGGCCGUAUGAUCGAUUGGCCAAACAUGGGCCAAUAACAGGCCGCAUUAUGGCCGUAAACGGGCUAGAGUUGGAAUCGUCCGUUCAUGGGCCGACCAUAACGGACCAUCGUUAAUAGACCGUAUUUGAUGACGCUAUGAAAAUGGCCCAACGUAUUAACGGACCACAAACGGGCCGACUGUAACCACGGGCUGAAUUUGGCCCACAAGUAGAAAAUGACAGUAACGGGCCAUAAGUAAACGAAUGCUGGAAAUGAGCCCAAGAAUAAAUGGGCUCUGAGAAGGCCGAAAGAUAACAUGGGCUGGAAACGGCCCAACAGAAUAACGGGCCGUUAAUGGGUAUAAAGUGAUACACUGUUCAUUACGGGCCAGUUUCACCACGGGCCGUUAAUGGGUGUAAAGUGAUACACUGUUCAUUACGGGCCAGUUUCACCACGGGCCGUUAAUAGGCCAAGAGUUACAUAGGGCCUCAUAUGGGCCGAAAGACGUCAUGGGCCAUACAUGGGCCAGAAGUGAAAACGGGCUGGAAUCAUAUUGGAUGGCCCAGAUGACACUACUGGGCCUAAUUCGGAUAGGGCGUAACGGGCCUUGGGUUAGCGGGCUGUAAAUGGGCUAUAUGCGAACAGGCCGUUAACAGGCUUUCCAUGGGCCGGCUCGCCACCUUUUGACCAAGUCAAACGGGUCGGCCUUUUCACAGGAAUGGGCCUCUGUUGGGCCGUGCCACGUGUCGACGUAUCAUAGGCGCCUUCUGUCCAAUGAGUGGAUGACAUCUGUCCCAACGAUGAGCCGACACGUGUUUCCUCCAGCCAAUGAUGAUUUUACACGUGGAAAAUCCCCAUUGGUCGGGGCUGUUAAUGGGUUAUAGGAUCCAAAACCCGACCCGAUAGCUUAACGGCGUUCCAUUAUGGUGGAUGCCACGUGUCGGUCACCCUUGACGAAAGCACUUCUGUGACGCGCGAUUUAUCGUCAUGGAAGUGGACACUUCCGUGAUGAUAAUUUUGGUAAUGUCAUGGAACACUUAUACGACAGCACAGGUAUGACUAUCUUGAUUCUGUCAUAAAUUUGUCAUGGAUGUACAUGCAUGACAAAAAACGCGACCUAUUGUGACAAACACGUAUCAUCACGGAAGUGUAUUUUUUUGUAGUGUUAGUAUCUGCAGCAAAGUAUUUAGUAGCAAAGUAAUAUGGGAGUAACGGUAACGGUAGCAAAAGUAGUAUUUUUGGGUUUUGUAAUGAUUGUAACAGUAGCAACGGAAAAGUAAAUAAGCGAAGAACAAUAUGUGAAAAGCUCGUAGGCAUUGGAUCGGUGAUGGAGAAUUAUGCCGGAUGCGGUUCAUCAUGUAACAGUCAUAACAUAGGGUGACACAGAACUAGCUCCAAUUCAUCAAUGUAAUGUAGGCAUGUAUUCUGAAUAUAGUCAUACGUGCUUAUGGAAAAGAACUUGCAUGACAUCUUUUGUCCUACCCUCCCGUGGCAGCGGGGUCCUAAUGGAAACUAAGGGAUAUUAAGGCCUCCUUUUAAUAGAGUACCGGAACAAAGCAUUAGCACAUGGUGAAUACAUGAACUCCUCAAACUAUGGUCAUCACCGGGAGUGGUCCCGAUUAUUGUCACUUCGGGGUUGCCGGAUCAUAACACAUAGUAGGUGACUAUAGACUUGCAAGAUAGGAUCAAGGACUCAAAUAUAUUGAUGAAAACAUAAUAGGUUCAGAUCUGAAAUCAUGGCACUCAGGCCCUAGUGACAAGCAUUAAGCAUAGCAAAGUCAUAGCAACAUCAAUCUCAGAACAUAGUGGAUACUAGGGAUCAAACCCUAACAAAACUAACUCGAUUACAUGAUAGAUCUCAUCCAACCCAUCACCGUCCAGCAAGCCUACGAUGGAAUUACUCACGCACGGCGGUGAGCAUCAUGAAAUUGGUGAUGGAGGAUGGUUGAUGAUGACAACAGCGAUGGAUUCCCCUCUCCGGAGCCCCGAACGGACUCCAGAUCAGCCCUCCUGAGAGGUUUUAGGGCUUGGCGGCAGCUCCGUAUUGUAAAUCGCGAUGAAUUCUUCUCCUUGAUUUUUCUCUCCCCGAAAGUGAAUAUAUAGAGUUAGAGUUGAGGUCGGUGGAGCGUCAGGGGGCCCACGAGGCAGGGGGCGCGCCCUCCACCCUCGUGGACAGGGUGUGGGCCCCCUGACGUGGAUUUUUCUUCCGGUAUUUUCCUUAUUUUCCAAAUAGAUGUUCCGUGGAGUUUCAGGUCAUUCCGAGAACUUUUGUUUCUGCACAUAAAUAACACCAUGGAAAGUCUGCUGAAAACAGCGUCAGUCCGGGUUAGUUCCAUUCAAAUCAUGCAAGUUAGAGUCCAAAACAAGGGAAAAGUGUUUGGAAAAGUAGAUACGACGGAGACGUAUCAACUCCCCCAAGCUUAAACCUUUGCUUGUCCUCAAGCAAUUCAGUUGAUAAACUGAAAGUGAUAAAGAAAAACUUUUACAAACUCUGUUUGCUCUUGUUGUUGUAAAUAUGUAAAGCCAGCAUUCAAGUUUUCAGCAAAGAUUAUGACUAACCACAUUUGCAAUAACUCCUAGGUCUCAUGUUUACUCAUAUCAAUAACAUAAUCAACUAGCGAGCGAUAAUAAUAAAUCUCGGAUGAUAACACUUUCUCAAAACAAUCAUGAUAUGAUAUAACAGGAUGGUAUCUCGCUAGCCCUUUCUGAGACCGCUAAACAUAAAUCCAAAGCACCUUUAAAGAUCAAGGACUGACUGGACAUUGUAAUUCAUGGUAAAAGAGAUCCAGUCAUAGUCAUACCCAAUAUAAAUUAAUAGUAAUGGAUGCAAAUCACAGCAGCGCUCUCCAGCUAGUGCUUUUAAUAAGAGGGUGAUGACUCAACAUAAAAGAAAAUAGAUAGGCCCUUCGCAGAGGGAAGCAGGGAUUUGUAGAGGUGCCAGAGCUCGGUUUUGAAAUAGAGAUAAAUAAUAUUUUGAGCGGCAUACUUUCAUUGUCAACAUAACAACCAAGAGAUGGCGAUAUCUUCCAUGCUACACACAUUAUAGGUGGUUCCCAAACAGAAUGGUAAAGUUUAUACUCCCCCUCCACCAACAAGCAUCAAUCCAUGGCUUGCUCGAAACAAUGAGUGCCUCCAACUAGCUACAGUCCCAGGGGGAGUUUUGUUUGCAAUUAUUUUGAUUUAGUUUGCAUAAAGCAUGGGACUGGGCAUCCCGGUGACCAGCCAUUUUCUCGUGAGUGAGGAGCGGAGUCCACUCCUCUUGAGAAUAACCCGCCUAGCAUGGAAGAUACAGACAGCCCUAGUUGAUACAUGAGCUAUUCGAGCAUACAAAACAGAAUGUUUAUUUGAAGGUUUAGAGUUUGGCACGUACAAAUUUACUUGGAACGGCAGGUAGAUACCGCAUAUAGGAAGGUAUAGUGGACUCAUAUGGCAUAACUUUGGGGUUUAAGGGAUUGGAUGCACAAGCAGUAUUCCCGCUUAGUACAAGUGAAGGCUAGCAAAAGACUGGGAAGCGACCAACUAGAGAGCGACAACAGUCAUGAACAUGCAUUAAAAUUAAUAGACAUUGAGUACGAGCAUGAGUAGGAUAUAAUCCACCAUGAACAUAAAUAUCGUGAAGGCUAUGUUGAUUUGUUUCAACUACAUGUGUGAACAUGUGCCAAGUCGAGUCACUUAAAUCAUUCAAAGGAGGAUACCACCCCACUAUACCACAUCACAACCAUUUUAAUAGCAUGUUGGCAUGCAAGGUAAACCAUUAUAACUCAUAGCUAGUCAAGCAUGGCAUAAGCACUAUGAUCUCUAAUUGUCAUUGCAAACAUGUUUAUUCAUAAUAGGCUGAAUCAGGAACGAUGAACUCAUCAUAUUUACAAAAACAAGAGAGGUCGAGUUCAUACCAACUUCUCUCAUCUCAGUCAGUCCAUCAUAUAUCGUCAUAAUUGCCUUUCACUUGCACGACCGGACGAUGUAAAAAUAAUAAGAGUGCACGUGCAUUGGACUAAGCUGGAAUCUGCGAGCAUUCAAUAAACAGGAGAAGACAAGGCAAUAUGGGCUCUUGGUUAAAUCAACAAUAAUGCAUAUAAGAGCCACUUCAACAAUUUAAUUAUGGUCUUCUCCUAUCGACCCCCCAAAGAAAAGAAAAUAAAUAAAACUAUUUACACGGGAAAUCUCCCAACAAACAAAAGAAGAACGGGAAAUAUUUUUGGGUUUUCUUUUUAAUUAUCACUACUACAGCAAGAAAAGUAAACUAACUAAAGCUACACUAAUUUUUUUUUGUUCUUCUUAAGGUCUAACAAACACACAAGAAGAAAGCAAGAAAAAUAAAAUAAACUAGCAUGGAUAUCACAGUAAAAAAGUAUGAGCACCGACAUCUAGCAAUGAGUGUGUGAACAUAAAUGUAAUGUCGGUGAGAGAUGCGUACUCCCCCAAGCUUAGGCUUUUGGCCUAAGUUGGUUUAUUGCCACGGAUGGCCCGGCGGACAUCCAGAGUUGUAGCUGGGGUCGUACUGAGAUGAAGAAGACUAUGACUGCCACUGGUUGGCAAUCAUAUCCGGAUCCCACUGGUAGUUAGACUGUCGUGGAGGUUCAAAUUGUGGUUCCGGCUCGGUGGCUGGUGUAGGGUUCCGGUAGGCGUGAAUGGCCGCCAACGGAACAAGAUACGGACCUUCAGAUAAAUUAAACAAGGAGGGAGCAGGCAAGGUAAUAGUCUCAGGGUGAUGUUUAUCAAAGAACAAUUUGUAUUUAAGCGCUCCUUCCCUAUUCUUAACAAUAAAGUCAUGUGCUACCAUACUCUUAUAAUCUAAAUAAGCAUUGGGCAGCAAUUUUUCAUCUUUUUCAUAGUGCCUAAUAGGUAUGUUAUAAUGUGCAGCAAGGCGUGAAGCAUAAAUACCUCCAAAGAUGGGGCCCUUUGUACGGUUCAAGCUUAACCGUUUAGCAAUAAUACCACCCAUACUAACAGUGUUAUCGCAGAAUAAACCAUGGAACAAAAUGAUAAUAUCAGGAACACUAAGGUUUCCACAGUUUCCGCGACCAAUUAAGCAACGACUAGCAAAUAUGGCAAGGUAGCGUAAAACAGGAAAAUGUAUGCUAGUGAUUCUUGCAUCGGAAACCUUCCUAGUUUCCCCCACAGUAAUAGUAUCAAUAAAUCCGUCCACAUCUUUACGAUGUGGUUCCUCUAAACUACCCUCAAAAGGUAUUUUGCAAACCUUGCAAAAUUCAUCUAGUGGCAUCUUCUUAACAACAUCAUAUAAAUGAAACUCUACUGAAGGAGGUGAUUCCUUAGGAAAAUAGUAGAAGUUUUGCACAAAAGUAUUGGUGAGUAAGAGAUACUGAUUGCGUUGGUCGCGGAGGAAGUCGGUGAGGCCUGCAUUCUCAGCCAAUUCAUAAAAAUCAUCAUAAAUCCCGGCUUCUCUCAAGAAAUCAUUGGAAGGCCAUUCACACGGCCGGACCUCCGCGGUGCGAGGCAAAUUAUAUUUGGGCCUCUGUGCUUCUUCACUUUGCUUUUCCUUCAAGCUUCGGCUCGAUGAUCCCCUCAAAAAUCUCUUCAUUAUUUUCUGAAAAAUUCUCAAAAAAAAUUAGUAACUUCAAAAUAAAAGUGAACCAAGCUCAACAAAAUUAAUAGCAACUACUCCUACAAGUGCCUAGAGCCUAUAUCAUGCAUUAGAACUACUUGGAACCAUAUAAAUUUGACAUGCAAGCUCAAGAACAUGGUCACCUAGGCAGCACAAAUUUGCAAUGAAUAAAGCACUAGAACAAAAACUAAUUGGACCAAUGGAGGAGUCGCAUACCAAGGAACAAUCUCCCCAAGCAGUUUUGUGAGAGGUGCUUUGAGCAAGGAGAUCGAAAAUCGCAGCAAAAUGAGCUAGAACUCGUGCUUGAGCUGGAUGGUGAUUUUUUUGGGAGGAAGAAGAAGUGUGUGGGUGCAGGAAUAAGUGGAGGGGAGCCACCAUGGGCCCACGAGGCAGGGGGCGCGCCCAGGGGGUAGGGCGCGCCCUCCACCCUCGUGGCCAGGUGCUUGCCCCUCCUGCUGUGUUCUCAGUGCCAGAUAUUCUCAAAUAUUCCAGAAAAAUCAUAUUUCAUUUUCAGGGCAUUUGGAGAACUUUUAUUUUUGGGGUAUUUUUAUAUUGCACGGAUAAAUCAGAAAACAGACAGAAAAAUACUAUUUCUACUUUAUUUCAACUAAAUAACAGAAAGUAGAAAGAGGGUACAGAAGGUUGUGCCUUCUAGUUUCAUCCAUCUCAUGCUCAUCAAAAGGAAUCCACUAAAAAGGUUGAUCAGGUCCUGUUAACAAACUCAUUCCGACUAACAUGGAACCGGAGAAAUUUCGAAUAACACUAUUUUACCUCAACGGGGAUAUGCACAUCCCCAAUAAUAAGAAUAUCAUAUUUCUUCUUGACAGUAGGUAGAGGAAAUUCAAAACCUCCAAAAACAAUCGAUGGAAUUCUUCCAAUAGAAUUGAUACUGUGGACUUGAGGUUGUUUCCUUGGAAAGUGUACCGUAUGCUCAUUACCAUUAACAUGAAAAGUGACAUUGCCUUUGUUGCAAUCCAUAACAGCCCCUGCAGUAUUCAAAAAGGGUCUUCCAAGAAUAAUAGACAAACUAUCGUCCUCAGGAAUAUCAAGAAUAACAAAGUCCGUUAAAAUAGUAACGCUUGCAACCACAAUAGGCACAUCCUCACAAAUAUCGACAGGUAUAGCAGUUGAUUUAUCAGCCAUUUGCAAAGAUAUUUCAGUAGGUGUCAACUUAUUCAAAUCAAGUCUACAAUAUAAAGAGAGAGGCAUAACACUAACACCGGCUCCAAGAUCACAUAAAGCAGUUUUAACAUAGUUUCUUUCAAUGGAGCAUGGUAUAGUCGGUACUCCUGGAUCUCCUAGUUUCUUUGGUAUUCCACCCUUAAAAGUAUAAGUAGCAAGCAUGGUGGAAAUUUCAGCUUUCGGUAUCUUUCUUUUAUUAGUAACAAUAUCUUUCAUAUACUUAGCAUAAGGAUUCAUUUUGAGCAUAUCAGUUAAUUGCAUACGCAAAAAGAUAGGUCUAAUCAUUUCAGCAAAGCGCUCAAAAUCCUCAUCAUCCUUUUUCUUGGAUGGUUUGGGAGGAAAAGGCAUGGGUUUCUGAACCCAUGGUUCUCUUUCUUUACCAUGUUUCCUAGCAAUAAAGUCUCUCUUAUCAUAACGUUGAUUCUUUGAUUGUGGGUUAUCAAGAUCAAUAGCAGGUUCAAUUUCUACAUCAUUAUCAUUACUAGGUUGAGCAUCAUCAUGAACAUCUUCAUUAAUAUUAUCACUAGGCUCAUGUUCAUUACCAUAUUGUGUUUCAGCAUCAGAGAUAGAUAUAUCAUUUGGAUUCUCAGGUGGUUCAGUAAUAGGUUCACUAGAAGCAUGCAAAGUCCUAUCAUUUUUCUUUUUCUUCUUUUUAGAACAACUAGGUGCAUCGAUAUUAUUUCUCUGAGAAUCUUGUUCAAUUCUCUUAGGGUGACCUUCAGGAUAGAAAGGUUCCUGAGUCAUUUUACCAGUUCUAGUAGCCACUCUAACAGCAAAAUCAUUAUUCUUACUAUUUAAUUCAUUGAGCAAAUCAUUUUGAGCUUUAAGUACUUGUUCUACUUGAGUGGUAACCAUAGAAGCAUGUUUAGUAAUGAGUUUAAGUUCACCUUUAACUCUAGACAUAUAAUCACCCAAGUGUUCAAGCGUAUCGAAAUUGUAUUUCAAUUGUCUACCAAAAUAAGCAUUGAAGUUUUCUUGUUUGAAAAUAAAAUUAUCAAACACUUCUAAGCAUUGUCUAGCAGACUUAUAGUGAGGAAUAUCACCUUCAUCAAAUCUAUAGAGAGAAUUUACCUUUACUACCUGUGUCGGGUUAUCAAGACCAUGAGUUUCUUCAAUAGGUGAAGGCUUGAGAUCAUAUGUUUCUUCAACAGGCGGUAAAUUAAGACCAUGUAUUUCUUCAAUAGGAGGUAAAUUCUUAACAUCUUCAGCUUUAAUACCCUUUUCUUUCAUAGAUUUCUUUGCCUCUUGCAUAUCUUCAGGACUGAGAAAUAGAACACCUCUCUUCCUCGGAGUUGGUUUAGGAAUAGGCUCAGGAAGUGUCCAAUUAUUUUCAUUUGUCAACAUAUUAUUCAACAGAAUUUCAGCUUCAUCCGGUGUUCUUUCCCUAAAAACAGAACCAGCACAGCUAUCCAGGUAAUCUCUGGAAGCAUCGGUUAGUCCAUUAUAAAAGAUAUCAAGCAUUUCAUUUUUCUUAAGAGGAUGAUCAGGCAAAGCAUUAAGUAAUUGGAGAAGCCUCCCCCAAGCUUGUGGGAGACUCUCUUCUUCAAUUUGCACAAAAUUAUAUAUGUCCCUUAAAGCAGCUUGUUUCUUAUGAGCAGGGAAAUAUUUAGCAGAGAAGUAAUAAAUCAUAUCCUGGGGACUAUGCACACAACCAGGAUCAAGAGAAUUAAACCAUAUCUUAGCAUCACCCUUUAAUGAGAACGGAAAUAUUUUAAGGAUAUAUAGGUAGCGAGAUUUCUCAUCAUUAGUGAACAGGGUGGCUAUAUCAUUUAAUUUAGUAAGAUGUGCCACAACAGUUUCAGAUUCAUAGCCAUGAAAAGGAUCGGAUUCAACCAAAGUAAUUAUAUCAGGAUCAACAGAGAAUUCAUAAUCCUUAUCAAUAACACAGAUAGGUGAAGUAGCAAAAGCAGGGUCAGGUUUCAUUCUAGCAUUAAGAGAUUGCUGCUUCCAUUUAGCUAAUAACCUCUUGAGCUCAUAUCUAUCUUUGCAAGCUAAAAUAGCUAAAGUAGCUUCUUUUUCAAAAACAUAACCCUCAGGAAUAACAGGAGAGUCUUCAUCAUCACUUUCAUCAAUAUUAUCAGUUUCAAUAAUUUCAUUUUCUCUAACUCUAGCAAUUUGUUCCAUCAAGAAAUUCACCAAGUGGCAAAGUAGUAUCAAGCAUAGAAGUAGUUUCAUCAUAAGUAUCAUUCAUAGCAGAAGUGGCAUCAUCAAUAACAUGCGACAUAUCAGAACAAAUAGCAGAAGCAGGUUUAGGUGUCGCAAGCUUACUCAAAACAGAAGGUGAAUCAAGUGCAGAGCUAGAUGGCAAUUUCUUACCUCCCCUCGUAGUUGAGGGAUAAAUUGUUGUCUUUGCAUCUUUCAAGUUCUUCAUAGUGACCAGCAGAUAUAAAUCCCAAGUGACUCAAAGAAUAGAGCUAUGCUCCCCGGCAACGGCGCCAGAAAAUAGUCUUGAUAACCCACAAGUAUAGGGGAUCGCAACAGUUUUCGAGGGUAGAGUAUUCAACCCAAAUUUAUUGAUUCGACACAAGGGGAGCCAAAGAAUAUUCUCAAGUAUUAGCAGUUGAGUUGUCAAUUCAACCACACCUGGAUAACUUAGUAUCUGCAGCAAAGUAUUUAGUAGCAAAGUAAUAUGGGAGUAACGGUAACGGUAGCAAAAGUAGUAUUUUUGGGUUUUGUAAUGAUUGUAACAGUAGCAACAGAAAAGUAAAUAAGCGAAGAACAAUAUGUGAAAAGCUCGUAGGCAUUGGAUCGGUGAUGGAGAAUUAUGCCGGAUGUGGUUCAUCAUGUAACAGUCAUAACAUAGGGUGACACCAAACUAGCUCCAAUUCAUCAAUGUAAUGUAGGCAUGUAUUCCGAAUAUAGUCAUACAUGCUUAUGGAAAAGAACUUGCAUGACAUCUUUUGUCCUACCCUCCCGUGGCAGCGGGGUCCUAAUGGAAACUAAGGGAUAUUAAGGCCUCCUUUUAAUAGAGUACCGGAACAAAGCAUUAGCACAUAGUGAAUACAUGAACUCCUCAAACUAUGGUCAUCACCGGGAGUGGUCCCGAUUAUUGUCACUUCGGGGUUGCCGGAUCAUAACACAUAGUAGGUGACUAUAGACUUGCAAGAUAGGAUAAAGAACUCAAAUAUAUUCAUGAAAACAUAAAGGUUCAGAUCUGAAAUAAUGGCACUCGGACCCUAGUGACAAGCAUUAAGCAUAGCAAAGUCAUAGAAACAUCAAUCUCAAAACGCGAUGAAUCCUUCUCCUUGAUUUUUUCUCCCCGAAAGUGAAUAUAUAGAGUUGGAGUUGAGGUCGGUGGAGCAUCAGGGGGCCCACGAGGCAGGGGCACGCCCUCCACCCUCGUGGACAGGGUGUGGGCCCCCUGACGUGGAUUUUUCUUCCGGUAUUUUUCUUAUUUUCCAAAUAGAUGUUCCGUGGAGUUUCAUGUCAUUCCGAGAACUUUUGUUUCUGCACAUAAAUAACACCAUGGAAAGUCUGCUGAAAACAGCGUCAGUCCGGGUUAGUUCCAUUCAAAUCAUGCAAGUUAGAGUCCAAAACAAGGGCAAAAGUGUUUGGAAAACUAGAUACGACGGAGACGUAUCAGGGCGCUCGCUCGGCCGUCAAGCCAACGGUGAAGAAAAUAUGCCCUAUAGGCAAUAAUAAAGUUGUUAUUUAUAUUUCCUUUAUAUCAUGAUAAAUGUUUAUUAUUCAUGCUAGAAUUAUAUUAACCGGAAACUUAGUACAUGUGUGAAUACAUAGACAAAAUGAGUGUCACUAGUAUGCCUCUACUUGACUAGCUCGUUAAUCAAAGAUGGUUAAGUUUCCUAGCCAUGGACAUGAGUUGUCAUUUCAUUAACGGGAUCACAUCAUUAGAGAAUGAUGUGAUUUACUUGACCCAUCCGUUAGCUUAGCAGGAUGAUCGUUUAGUUUGUUGCUUUUGCUUUCUUCAUAACUUAUACAUGUUCCUAUGACUAUGAGAUUAUGCAACUCCCAAAUACCAGAGGAACACUUAGUGUGCUAUCAAACGUCACAACGUAACUGGGUGAUUAUAAAGAUGCUCUACAGGUGUCUCCGAUGGUGUUUGUUGAGUUGGCAUAGAUCGAGAUUAGGAUUUGUCACUCCAUUGUCGGAGAGGUAUCUCUGGGCCCUCUCGAUAAUGCACAUCACUAUAAGCCUUGCAAGCAAUGUGACUAAUGAGUUAUUUAUGGGAUCACGCAUUACGGAACAAGUAAAGAGACUUGCCGGUAACGAGAUUGAACUAGGUAUUGAGAUACCGACAAUCGAAUCUCGGGCAAGUAACAUACCGAUGACAAAGGGUGUUGCUAUGCGGUUUGACCGAUAAAGAUCUUCGUAGAAUAUGUAGGAACCAAUAUGAGCAUCCAGGUUCCGCUAUUGGUUAUUGACCGGAGAUGAGUCUCAGUCAUGUCUACAUAGUUCUCGAACCCGUAGGGUCCGCACGCUUAGCGUUCGAUGACGAUCGGUAUUAUGAGUUUAUGUGUUUUGAUGUGCCGAAGGUUGUUCGGAGUCCCGGAUGUGAUCACGGACAUGACGAGGAGUCCCUAAAUGGUCGAGACAUAAAGAUCGAUAUAUUGGAAGGCUAUGUCUGGACAUCGGAAUGGUUCCGGGUGAGUUCGGGCAUUUACCGGAGUACCGGGGGGUUACCGGAACCCCCCGGGGAGUUAUUGGGCCUUAAUGGGCCAUAGUGAAGAGAGAGAGGGGCGGCCAGGGCAGGCCGCGCGCCCCUCCCCCUUCGGUCCGAAUUAGACUAGGGAAGGGGGGCGACGCCCCCCUUUCCUUCUCCCUCUCUCCUCCUUCCCUCUUCUCCUACUCCAACUAGGGAAAGGGGGAAUCCUACUCCGACCGAGAGUAGGACUCCCCCCUUGGGCGUGCCAUGAGAGGGCUGGCCCUCCCCCUCCUCCACUCCUUUAUAUACGGGGGAGGGGGCACCCCAUUGACACACACGUUGAUUGUUUAGCCAUUUGCGGUGCCCCCUUCCACAGAUUUCCACCUCGGUCAUAUCGUUGCAGUGCUUAGGCGAAGCCCUGCGCUGGUAGCUUCAUCAUCACCGUCACCACGCCGUCGUGCUGACGAAACUCUCCCUCGACCUCAGCUGGAUCUAGAGUUCGUGGGACGUCACCGAGCUGAACAUGUGCAAAUCAUGAAGGUGCCGUAUCUUCGGUGCUAGGAUCGGUUGGAUCGUGAAGACGUACGACUACAUCAACCGCGUUGUCAUAACGCUUCCACUUACGGUCUACAAGGGUACGUGGACAACACUCUCCCCUCUCAUUGCUAUGCAUCACCUAGAUGGAUCUUGCGUGUAUGUAGGAUUUUUUUUGAAAUUACUACGUUCCCCAACAGUGGCAUCCGAGCCAGGUCUAUGCGUAGAUGUUAUAUGUGUUGGGGAACGUAGUAAUUUCAAAAAAAUUCCUACGCACACGCAAGAUCAUGGUGAUGCAUAGCAACGAGAGGGGAGAGUGUGUCCACGUACCCUCAUAGACCGAAAGCGGAAGCGUUAGCACAACGCGGUUGAUGUAGUCGUAUGUCUUCACGAUCCGACCGAUCAAGUACCGAACGCACGGCACCUCCGAGUUCUGCACACGUUCAACUCGAUGACGUCCCUCGACCUCCGAUCCAGCCGAGCUUUGAGGGAGAGUUCCGUCAGCACGACGGCGUGGUGACGAUGAUGAUGUUCUACUGACGCAGGGCUUCGCCUAAGCACCGCUACGAUAUAAUCGAGGUGGAUUAUGGUGGAGGGGGGCACCGCACACGGCUAAGAGAUCAAGAGAUCAAUUGUUGUGUCUCCAAGGGGUGCCCCCUUCCCUGUAUAUAAAGGAGUGGAGGAGGGGGAGGGCCGGCCCUCUAUGGCGCGCCCUAGGAGGAGUCCUACUCCCACCGGGAGUAGGAUUCCCCCCUUCCAAGUAGUAGGAGUAGGAGUCAAGGAAAGGGGAGACAAGAGAAGGAAGGAGGGGGCGCAGCCCCUCCCCCUAGUCCAAUUCGGACUAGGACUUGGGGGGCGCGCAGCCUCUCCUCUCUCUUUCCCCUAAAGCCCAAUAAGGCCCAUAUACUCCCCGGCGAAUUCUCGUAACUCUCCGGUACUCCGAAAAAUACCCGAAUCACUCAGAACCUUUCCGAUGUCCGAAUAUAGUCGUCCAAUAUAUCGAUCUUUACGUCUCGACCAUUUCGAGACUCCUCGUCAUGUCCCCGAUCUCAUCCGAGAAUCCGAACUGCCUUCGGUACAUCAAAACACAUAAACUCAUAAUAUAACCGUCAUCGAACUUUAAGCGUGCGGACCCUACGGGUUCGAGAACAAUGUAGACAUGACCGAGACAGGUCUCCAGUCAAUAACCAAUAGCGGAACCUGGAUGCUCAUAUUGGCUCCCACAUAUUCUACGAAGAUCUUUAUCGGUCAAAUCGCAUAACAACAUACGUUGUUCCCUUUGUCAUCGGUAUGUUACUUGCCCGAGAUUCGAUCGUCGGUAUCUCAAUACCUAGUUCAAUCUCGUUACCGGAAAGUCUCUUUACUCAUUUCGUAAUACAUCAUCCCGCAACUAACUCAUUAGUUGCAAUGCUUGCAAGGCUUAUAAUGAUGUGCAUUACCGAGUGGGCCCAGAGAUACCUCUCCGACAAUCGGAGUAACAAAUCCUAAUCUCGAAAUACGCCAACCCAACAAGUACCUUCGGAGACACCUGUAGAGCACCUUUGUAAUCACCCAGUUACGUUGUGACAUUUGGUAGCACACAAAGUGUUCCUCCGGUAAAUGGGAGUUGCAUAAUCUCAUAGUCAUAGGAACAUGUAUAAGUCAUGAAGAAAGCAAUAGCAGAAUACUAAACGAUCGAGUGCUAAGCUAACGGAAUGGGUCAAGUCAAUCACAUCAUUCUCCUAAUGAUGUGAUCCCGUUAAUCAAAUGACAACCCAUGUCAAUGGCUAGGAAACAUAGCCAUCUUUGAUCAACGAGCUAGUCAAGUAGAGGCAUACUAGUGACACUCUGUUUGUCUAUGUAUUCACACAAGUAUUAUGUUUCCGGUUAAUACAAUUAGCAUGAAUAAUAAACAUUUAUCAUGAUAUAAGGAAAUAAAUAAUAACUUUAUUAUUGCCUCUAGGGCAUAUUUCCUUCAGUCUCCCACUUGCACUAGAGUCAAUAAUCUAGAUCACAUCGCCAUGUGAUUUAACAUCAAUAGUUCACAUCACCAUGUGAUUAACACCCAUAGUUCACAUCGUCAUGUGACCAACACCCAAAGGGUUCACUAGAGUCAGCAAUCUAGUUCACAUCGCCAUGUGAUUAACACCCAAAGAGUACAAAGGUGUGAUCAUGUUUUGCUUGUGAGAGAAGUUUAGUCAACGGGUCUGCCAAAUUCAGAUCCGUAUGUAUUUUGCAAAUUUCUAUGUCAACAAUGCUCUGCAUGGAGCUACUCUAGCUAAUUGCUCCCACUUUCAAUAUGUAUCCAGAUUGAGAUUUAGAGUCAUCCGGAUCAGUGCCAAAACUUGCAUCGAUGUAACCCUUUACGAUGAACUUUUUGUCGUCUCCAUAACUGAGAAACAUAUCCUUAUUCCACUAGGGAUAAUUUUGACCAAUCUCCAGUGAUCUACUCCUAGAUCACUAUUGUACUCCCUUGCCAAACUCAGUGUAGGGUAUACAAUAGAUCUGGUACACAGCAUGGCAUACUUUAUAGAACCUAUGGCUGAGGCAUAGGGAAUGACUUUCAUUCUCUCUCUAUCUUCUGUCGUGGUCGGGCUUUGAGCCUUACUCAAUUUCACACCUUGUAACACAGGUAAGAACUCUUUCUUUGACUGUUCCAUUUUGAACCGUUUCAAAAUCUUGUCAAGGUAUGUACUCAUUGAAAAAACUUAUCAAGCGUCUUGAUCUACCUCUAUAGAUCUUGAUGCUCAAUAUGUAAGCAGCUUCACCGAGGUCUUUCUUUGAAAAACUCCUUUCAAAUACUCCUUUAUGCUUUGCAGAAUAAUUCUACAAUUAUUUCCGAUCAACAAUAUGUCAUUCACAUAUACUUAUAAGAAAUGUUGUAGUGCUCCCACUCACUUUCUUGUAAAUACAGGCUUCACCGCAAGUCUGUAUAAAACUAUAUCCUUUGAUCAACUUAUCAAAGCGUAUAUUCCAACUCCGAGAUGCUUGCACCAGUCCAUAGAUGGAUCGCUGGAGCUUGCAUAUUUUGUUAGCACCUUUAGGAUUGACAAAACCUUCUGGUUGCAUCAUAUACAACUCUUCUUUAAUAAAUCCAUUAAGGAAUGCAGUUUUGUUUAUCCAUUUGCCAGAUUUUAUAAAAUGCGGCAAUUGCUAACAUGAUUCGGACUGACUUAAGUAUAGAUACGAGUGAGAAACUCUCAUCGUAGUCAACACCUUGAAUUUGUCGAAAACCUUUUGCGACAAUUCUAGCUUUGUAGAUAGUAACACUACUAUCAGCGUCCGUCUUCCUCUUGAAGAUCCAUUUAAUCUCAAUGGCUCGCUGAUCAUUGGGCAAGUCAAUCAAAGUCCAUACUUUGUUCUCAUACAUGGAUCCCAUCUCAGAUUUCAUGGCCUCAAGCCAUUUUGCGGAAUCUGGGCUCAUCAUCGCUUCCUCAUAGUUCGUAGGUUCGUCGUGGUCAAGUAACAUGACCCCCAGAACAGGAUUACCGUACCACUCUGGUGUGGAUCUCACUCUGGUUUACCUACGAGGUUCGGUAGUAACUUGAUCUGAAGUUACAUGAUCAUCAUCAUUAGCUUCCUCACUAAUUGGUGUAGUAGUCACAGGAACAUAUUUCGGUGAUGAACUACUUUCCAAUAAGGGAGCAGGUACAGUUACCUCAUCAAGUUCUACUUUCCUCCAACUCACUUAUUUCGAGAGAAACUCCUUCUCUAGAAAGGAUCCAUUCUUAGCAACGAAUAUCUUGCCUUCGGAUCUGUGAUAGAAGGUGUACCCUACUGUCUCCUUUGGGUAUCCUAUGAAGACACAUUUCUCCGAUUUGGGUUUGAGCUUAUCAGGAUGAAACUUUUUCUUAUAAGCAUCGCAACCCCAAACUUUAAGAAACGACAGCUUAGGUUUCUUGCCAAACCAUAGUUCAUACGGUGUCGUCUCAACGGAUUUAGAUGGUGCCCUAUUUUUACAUGAAUGCAGUUAUCUCUAAUGCAUAACCCCAAAACUAUAGUGGUAAAUCGGUAAGAAACAUCAUAGGUUGCACCAUAUCUAAUAAAGUACGGUUACGACGUUCGGACACACCAUUAUGCUGUGGUGUUCCAGGUGGCAUGAGUUGCAAAACUAUUCUGCAUUGUUUUAAUUGAAGGCCAAACACGUAACUCAAAUAUUUGCCUCUACGAUCAGAUUGUAGAGACUUUAUUUUCUUGUUACGAUGAUUCUCUACUUCACUCUAAAAUUCCUUGAACUUUUCAAAUGUUUCAGACUUAUGUUUCAUCAAGUAGAUAUACUCAUAUCUGCUCAAAUCAUCUGUGAAGGUCAGAAAACAAUGAUACCCGCCGUGAGCCUCAACACUCAUUGGACCGCAUACAUCGGUAUGUAUUAUUUCCAACAAGUCAGUGGCUCGCUCCAUUGUUCCAGAGAACGGAGUCUUAGUCAUCUUGCCCAUGAGGCAUGGUUCGCAAGCAUCAAGUGAUUCAUAAUCAAGUGAUUCCAAAAGCCCAUCAGCAUGGAGUUUCUUCAUGCGUUUUACACCAAUAUGACCUAAACGGCAGUGCCACAAAUAAGUUGCACUAUCAUAAUUAACUUUGCAUCUUUUGGUUUCAAUAUUAUGAAUAUGUGUAUCACUACGAUCGAGAUCCAACGAACCAUUUUCAUUGGGUGUGUAACCAUAUAAGGUUUUAUUCAUGCAAACAGAACAACAAUUAUUCUCUAACUUAAAUGAAUAACUGUAUUGCAACAAACAUGAUCAAAUCAUAUUCAUGCUCAACGCAAACACCAAAUAGCACUUAUUUAGGUUCAACACUAAUCCCGAAAAUAUAGGGAGUGUGCGCUGAUGAUCAUAUCAAUCUUGGAACCACUUCCAACACACAUCGUCACUUCACCCUUAACUAGUCUCAGUUCAUUCUGCAACUCCCGUUUCGAGUUACUAAUCUUAGCAACUGAACUAGUAUCAAAUACUGAGGGGUUGCUAUAAACACUAGUAAAGUACACAUCAAUAACAUGUAUAUCAAAUAUACCUUUGUUCACUUUGCCAUCCUUCUUAUCCGCCAAAUACUUGGGACAGUUCCGCUUCCAGUGACCAGUCCCUUUGUAGUAGAAGCACUUAGUCUGAGGCUUAGGUCCAGACUUGGGCUUCUUCACUUGAGCAGCAACUUGCUUGUUGUUCUUCUUGAAGUUCCCCUUCUUCCCUUUGCCCUUUUUCUUGAAACUAGUGGUCUUGUCAACCAUCAACACUUGAUGUUUUUCUUGAUUUCUACCUUCGUCGAUUUCAGCAUCACGAAGAGCUUGGGAAUCGUUUCCAUUAUCCCUUGCAUAUUAUAGUUCAUCACGAAGUUCUAGUAACUUGGUGAUAGUGACUAGAGAAUUCUGUCAAUCACUAUCUUAUCUGGAAGAUUAACUCCCACUUGAUUCAAGUGAUUGUAGUACUCAGACAUUCUGAGCACAUUCUCACUAGCUGGGCAAUUCUCCUCCAUCUUGUAGGCAAAGUACUGUCAGAGGUCUCAUACCUCUCGACACGGGCAUGAGUAUGAAGUACCAAUUUCAACUCUUGGAACAUCUUAUAUGCUCCGUGGUGUUCAAAACAUUUUUGAAGUCCAGGUUCUAAGCCGUAAAGCAUGGUGCACUAAACUAUCAAGUAGUUAUCAUACCGAGCUUUGUCAAACGUUCAUAACGUCUGCAUCUGCUCCUGCAAUAGGUCUGUCACCUAGCGGUGCAUCAAGGACAUAAUACUUCUGUGCAGCAAUGAGGUUAAUCCUCAGAUCACGGACCAAUUCCGCAUCAUUGCUACUAACAUCUUUCAACUUAGUUAUCUCUAGGAACAUAUCAAAAUAAAACACGGGAGCUAAACGCAAGCUAUUGAUCUACAACAUAGAUAUGCUAAUACUACCAGGACUAAGUUCAUGAUAAAUUAAAGUUCAAUUAAUCAUAUUACUUAAGAACUCCCACUUAGAUAGACAUCCCUCUAAUCCUCUAAGUGAUCACGUGAUCCAUAUCAACUAAACCAUGUCCGAUCAUCACGUGAGAUGGAGUAGUUUCAAUGGUGAACAUCACUAUGUUGAUCAUAUCUACUAUAUGGUUCACGCUCGACCUUUCGGUCUCCGUGUUCCAGGCCAUAUCUGUUAUAUGCUAGGCUCGUCAAGUUUAACUUGAGUAUUCCGCGUGUGCAACUGUUUUGCACCCGUUGUAUUUGAACGUAGAGCCUAUCAUACCCGAUCAUCAUGUGGUGUCUCAGCAUGAAGAACUUUCGCAACGGUGCAUACUCAGGGAGAACACUUAUAUACCUUGAUAAUUUAGUGAGAGAUCAUCUUAUAAUGCUACCGUCAAUCAAAGCAAGAUAAGAUGCACAAAAGAUAAACAUCACAUGCAAUCAAUAUAAGUGAUAUGAUAUGGCCAUCAUCAUCCUGUGCUUGUGAUCUCCAUCUCCGAAGCACCGUCAUGAUCACCAUCGUCACCGGCGUGACACCUUGAUCUCCAUCGUAGCAUCAUUGUCGUCUCGCCAAUCUUAUGCUUCUACGACUAUCGCUACCGCUUAGUGAUAAAGUAAAGCAUUACAGGGCGAUUGCAUUGCAUACAAUAAAGCGACAACCAUAUGGCUCCUGCCAGUUGCCGAUAACUCGAUUACAAAACAUGAUCAUCUCAUACAAUAAAAUCUAGCAUCAUGCCUUGACCAUAUCACAUCACAACAUGCCCUGCAAAAACAAGUUAGACGUCCUCUACUUUGUUGUUGCAAGUUUUACGUGGCUGCUACGGGCUGAGCAAGAACCGUUCUUACCUACGCAUCAAAAUCACAGCGAUAGUUCGUCAAGUUAGUGUUGUUUUAACCUUCUCAAGGACCGGGCGUAGCCACACUCGGUUCAACUAAAGUUGGAGAAACUGACACCCGCCAGCCACCUGUGUGCAAAGCACGUCGGUAGAAGCAGUCUCGCGUAAGCAUACGCGUAAUGUCGGUCCGGGCCGCUUCAUCCAACAAUACCGCCGAACCAAAGUAUGACAUGCUGGUAAGAAGUAUGACUUGUAUCGCCCACAACUCACUUGUGUUCUACUCAUGCAUAUGACAUCUACGCAUAAAACCAGGCUCGGAUGCCACUGUUGGGGAACGUAGUAAUUUCAAAAUAAAUCCUACGCACACGCAAGAUCAUGGUGAGGCAUAGCAACGAGAGGGGAGAGUGUGUCCAGGUACCCUCGUAGACCGAAAGCGGAAGCGUUAGCACAACGCGGUUGAUGUAGUCGUACGUCUUCACGAUCCGACCGAUCAAAUACCGAACCCACGGCACCUCCGAGUUCUGCACACGUUCAACUCGAUGACGUCCCUCGAACCCCGAUCCAUCCGAGCUUUGAGGGAGAGUUCUGUCAGCACGACGGCGUGGUGACGAUGAUGAUGUUCUACCGAUGCAGGGCUUCGCCUAAGCACCGCUACGAUAUAAUCGAGGUGGAUUAUGGUGGAGGGGGGCACCGCACACGGCUAAGAGAUCAAGAGGUCAAUUGUUGUGUCUCCAAGGGGUGCCCCCUUCCCCGUAUAUAAAGGAGUGGAGGAGGGGGAGGGCCGGCCCUCUAUGGCGCGCCCUAGGAGGAGUCCUACUCCCACCGAGAGUAGGAUUCCCCCCUUCCAAGUAGUAGGAGUAGGAGUCAAGGAAAGGGGAGAGAGAAGAGAAGGAAGGAGGGGGCGCAGCCCCUCCCCCUAGUCCAAUUCGGACUAGGCCUUGGGGGGCGUGCAGCCUCUCCUCUCUCUUUCCCCUAAAGCCCAAUAAGGCCCAUAUACUCCCCGGCGAAUUCCGUAACUCUCCGGUACUCCGAAAAAUACCAGAAUCACUCGGAACCUUUCCGAUGUCCGAAUAUAGUCGUCCAAUAUAUCGAUCUUUACAUCUCGACCAUUUCGAGACUCCUCGGCAUGUCCCCGAUCUCAUACGGGACUCCGAACUACCUUCGGUACAUCAAAACACAUAAACUCAUAAUAUAACCGUCAUUGAACUUUAAGCGUGCGGACCCUACGGGUUCGAGAACAAUGUAGACAUGACCGAGACACGUCUCCGGUCAAUAACCAAUAGCGGAACCUGGAUGCUCAUAUUGGCUCCCACAUAUUCUACGAAGAUCUUUAUCUGUCAAACCACAUACAACAUACGUUGUUCCCUUUGUCAUCGGUAUGUUACUUGCCCGAGAUUCGAUCGUCGGUAUCUCAAUACCUAGUUCAAUCUCGGUACCGGAAAGUCUCUUUACUUGUUCUGUAAUACAUCAUCCCGCAACUAACUCAUUAGUUGCAAUGCUUGUGAGGCUUAUAACGAUGUGCAUUACCGAGUGGGCCCGGAGAUACCUCUCCGACAAUCGGAGUGACAAAUCCUAAUCUCGAAAUACGCCAACCCAACAAGUACCUUCGGAGACACCUGUAGAGCACCUUUAUAAUCACCCAGUUAUGUUGUGACGUUUGGUAGCACACAAAGUGUUCCUCCGGUAAACGGGAGUUGCAUAAUCUCAUAGUCAUAGGAACAUGCAUAAGUCAUGAAGAAAGCAAUAGCAGAAUACUAAACGAUCGAGUGCUAAGCUGACGGAAUGGGUCAAGUCAAUCACAUCAUUCUCCUAAUGAUGUGAUCCCGUUAAUCAAAUGACAGCUCAUGUCAAUGGCUAGGAAACAUAACCAUCUUUGAUCAACGAGCUAGUCAAGUAGAGGCAUACUAGUGAUACUCUGUUUGUCUAUGUAUUCACACAAGUAUUAUGUUUCCGGUUAAUACAAUUCUAGCAUGAAUAAUAAACAUUUAUCAUGAUAUAAGGAAAUAAAUAAUAACUUUAUUAUUGCCUCUAGGGCAUAUUUCCUUCAAUAUGCACGACUAGAACACAAAGAGUUGUGGGCGAUAAUAGUCAUACUGCUUACUAGCAUGUCAUACUUUGAUUCGGCGGUAUUGUUGGAUGAAGUGGCUCAGACCAACAUUACGUGUACGCUUACGCGAGACUGGUUCUACCGAUGUGCUUCGCACACAGGUGGCUAGUGGGUGUCUGUUUCUCCAACUUUAGUUGAACCGAGUGUGACUACGCCCGGUCCUUGUUGAAGGUUAAAACAACAACCUUGACGAAAAAUCAUUGUGGUUUUUGACGCAUAGGUAAGAACGGUUCUUGCUAAGCUCGUAGCAGCCACGUAAAACUUGCAACAACAAAGUAGAGGACGUCUAACUUGUUUUUGCAGGGCAUGUUGUGAUGUGAUAUGGUCAAGAUGUGAUUAUAUAAAUUGUUGUAUGAGAUGAUCAUGUUUUGUAACACAGUUAUCGGCAACUGGCAGGAGCCAUAUGAUUGUCGCUUUAUUGUAUGAAAUGCAAUCGCCAUGUAAUUGCUUUACUUUAUCACUAAGUGGUAGCAAUAGUCGUAGAAGCAAUAGUUGGCGAGACGACAACGAUGCUUCGAUGGAGAUCAAGGUGUCAAGCCGGUGACGAUGGUGAUCAUGACGGUGCUUUGGAGAUGGAGAUCAAAGGCACAAGAUGAUGAUGGCCAUAUCAUAUCACUUAUAUUGAUUGCAUGUGAUGUUUAUCCUUUAUGCAUCUUAUUUUGCUUAGUUCGGCGGUAGCAUUAUAAGAUGAUCUCUCACUAAAUUUCAAGGUAUAAGUGUUCUCCUAGAGUAUGCACCAUUGCUACAGUUCGUCGUGCCGACACACCACGUGAUGAUCGGGUGUGAUAAGCUCUACGUUCACAUACAACGGGUGCAAGCCAGUUUUGCACACGCAGAAUACUCGGAUUAAACUUGACAACCUAGCAUAUGCAGAUAUGGCCUCGGAACACUGAGACUGAAAGGUCGAGCGUGAAUCAUAUAGUAGAUAUGAUCAACAUAGUGAUGUUCACCAUUGAAAACUACUCCAUCUCACGUGAUGAUCGGACAUGGUUUAGUUGAUAUGGAUCAUGUGAUCACUUAGACGAUUAGAGGGAUGUCUAUCUAAGUGGGAGUUCUUAAGUAAUAUGAUUACUUGAACUUUAAUUUAUCAUGAACUUAGUACCUAAUAGUAUUUUGCAUGUCUAUGUUGUUGUAGAUAGAUGGCCCGUGUUGUUGUUUCGUUGAAUUUUAAUGCGUUCCUAGAGAAAGCUAAGUUGAAAGAUGAUGGUAGCAAUUACACGGACUGGGUCCGUAACUUGAGGAUUAUCCUCAUUGCUGCACAGAAGAAUUACGUCUUGGAAGCACCGCUAGGUGACAAACCCGUUGCAGGAGCAACGCCAGAUGUUAUGAACGUCUGGCAGAGCAAAUCUGAUGACUACUCGAUAGUUCAGUGGGCCAUGCUUUAUGGCUUAGAACCGGGACUUCAACGACGUUUUGAACAUCAUGGAGCAUAUGAGAUGUUCUAGGAGUUGAAGUUAAUAUUUCAAGAAAAUGCCUGGAUUGAGAGAUAUGAAGUCUCCAAUAAGUUCUACAGCUGCAAGAUGGAGGAGAAUAGUUCUGUCAGUGAACAUAUACUCAGAAUGUCUGGGUACCACAACCACUUGACUCAACUGGGAGUUAAUCUUCCUGAUGAUAGUGUCAUUCACAGAGUUCUUCAAUCACUGCCACCAAGCUACAAGAGCGUUACUGAUGAACUAUAAUAUGCAAGGGAUGGAUAAGACAACUCCCGAGCUCUUCGCGAUGCUAAAGGCUGCAGAGGUAGAAAUCAAGAAAGAGCAUCAAGUGUUGAUGGUCAACAAGACCACCAGUUUCAAGAAAAAGGGUAAAGGGAAGAAGGGGAACUUCAAGAAGAACAACAAGCAAGUUGCUGCUCCAGUGAAGAAGCCCAAGUCUGGACCUAAGCCUGAGACUGAGUGCUUCUACUGCAAAGGGACUGCUCACUGGAAGCGGAACUGCCCCAAGUAUUUGGCGGAUAAGAAGGAUGGCAAAGUGAAAGGGGCUACGGUUAAGUGAAGAUUGGCUAAGGACGAGGUGCCGAUGCGCGUGGGAAAUGGUUCCAAAGUUGAUGUGAUCGCCGUCGGCACGCUACCUCUACAUCUACCUUCGGGGUUAGUUUUAAACCGAAAUAAUUGUUAUUUGGUGCCAGCGUUGAGCAUGAACAUUAUAUCUGGAUCUUGUUCGAUGCGAGGUGGUUAUUCAUUUAAAUCAGAGAAUAAUGGUUGUUCUAUUUAUAUGAGUAAUAUCUUUUAUGGUCAUGCACCCUUGAUGAGUGGUCUAUUUUUACUAAAUCUUGAUAGUAGUGAUACACAUGUUCAUAGUAUUGAAGCCAAAAGAUAUAAGUUUAAUAAUGGUAGUGCAACUUAUUGGUGGCACUGCCGUUUAGGUCAUAUUGGUGUAAAGCGCAUGAAGAAACUCCAUGCUGAUGGGCUUUUGGAAUCACUUGAUUAUGAAUCACUUGAUGCUUGCGAACCAUGCCUCAUGGGCAAGAUGACUAAGACUCCGUUCUCCGGAACAAUGGAGCGAGCAACAGACUUGUUGGAAAUUAUGCAUACUGAUGUAUGCGGUCCGAUGAGUGUUGAUGCUCGCGGCGGGUAUCGUUAUUUUCUUACCUUCAUAGAUGAUUUGAGCAGAUAUGGGUAUAUCUACUUGAUGAAACAUAAGUCUGAAACAUUUGAAAGUUCAAAGAAUUUCAGAGUGAAGUGGAAAAUCAUCGUAACAAGAAAAUAAAGUUUCUAUGAUCUGAUCGUGGAGGAGAUAUUUGAGUUACGAGUUUGGUCUUCAUUUGAAACAAUGCAGAAUAGUUUUGCAACUCACGCCACCCGGAACACCACAACGUAAUGGUGUGUCUGAACAUCGUAAUCGUACUUUAUUAGAUAUGGUGCAAUCUAUGAUGUCUCUUACUGAUUUACCACUAUCGUUUUGGGGUUAUGCUUUAGAGAUGGCUGCAUUCACGUUAAAUAAGGCACCAUAUAAAUCCAUUGAGACGACACCUUAUGAACGGUGGUUUGGCAAGAAACCCAAGUUGUCGGUUCUUAAAGUUUGGUGCUGCGAUGCUUUUGUGAAAAAGCUUCAACCUGAUAAGCUCAAACCCAAAUCAGAGAAAUGUGUCUUCAUAGGAUACCCAAAGGAGACUGUUGAGUACACCUUCUAUCACAGAUCCGAAGGCAAGAUAUUCGUUGCUAAGAAUGGAUCCUUUCUAGAGAAGGAGUUUCUCUCGAAAGAAGUGAGUGGGAGGAAAGUAGAACUUGAUGAGGUAACUGUACCUGCUCCCUUAUUGGAAAGUAGUUCAUCACAAAAAUUAGUUCCAGUGAUUCCUACACCAGUAAGUGAGGAAGCUAAUGAUGAUGAUCAUGAAACUUCUGAUCAAGUUACUGCCGAACCUCGUAGGGCAACCAGAGUAAGAUCCGCACCAGAGUGGUACGGUAAUCCUGUUCUGGAGGUCAUGUUACUUGACAAUGACGAACCUACAAACUAUGAGGAAGCGAUGAUGAGCCCAGAUUCCGCAAAAUGGCUUGAGGCCAUGAAAUCUGAGAUGGGAUUCAUGUAUGAGAACAAAGUGUGGACUUUGGUUGACUUGCCCGAUGAUCGGCAAGCCAUAGAGAAUAAAUGGAUCUUCAAGAAGAAGAUUGACGCUGACGGUAAUGUUACUGUCUACAAUGCUCAACUUGUUGCGAAAGGUUUUGACAAGUUCAAGGAGUUGACUACGAUGAGACCUUCUCACCCGUAGCGAUGCCUAAGUCCGUCCGAAUCAUGUUAGCAAUUGCCGCAUUUUAUGAUUGUGAAAUUUGGCAAAUGGAUGUCAAAACUGCAUUCCUUAAUGGAUAUCUUAAAGAAGAGUUGUAUAUGGUGCAACCAGAAGGUUUUGUCGAUCCAAAAGGUGCUAACAAAGUGUGUAAGCUCCAGUGAUCCAUUUAUGGACUGGUGCAAGCAUCUCGGAGUUGGAAUAUACGCUUUGAUAGUGUGAUCAAAGCAUAUGGUUUUAUACAGACUUUUGGAGAAGUCUGUAUUUACAAGAAAGUUAGUGGGAGCUCUGUGGCAUUUUUGAUAUUAUAUGUGGAUGACAUAUUGUUGAUCGGAAAUGAUACUGAAUUACUAAAUAGCAUAAAAGGAUACUUGAAUAAGAUUUUUUUCAAUGAAAGACCUCGGUGAAGCUGCUUAUAUAUUAGGCAUCAAGAUCUAUAGAGAUAGAUCAAGACGCUUAAUUGGACUUUCACAAAGCAUAUACCUUGAUAAAGUUUUGAAGAAGUUCAAAAUGGAUCAAGCAAAGAAAGGAUUCUUGCCUGUAUUACAAGGUGUGAAGUUGAGCCAGACUCAAUGCCCGACCACUGCAGAAGAUAGAGAGAAAAUGAAAGUCAUUCCCUAUGCUUCAGCCAUAGGUUCUAUCAUGUAUGCAAUGUUGUGUACCAGACCUGAUCUGUGCCUUGCUAUUAGUUUAGCAGGGAGGUACCAAAGUAAUCCAGGAGUGGAUCACUGGAUAGCGGUCAAGAACAUCCUAAAAUACCUGAAAAGGACUAAGGAUAUGUUUCUCGUUUAUGGAGGUGACAAAUAGCUCAUCGUAAACAGUUACGUCGAUGCAAGCUUUGACACUGAUCCGGAUGACUUUAAAUCACAAACCGGAUACAUAUUUUUAUUGAAUGGCGGAGCUGUCAGUUAGUGCAGUUCCAAGCAGAGCAUCGUGGCGGGAUCUACGUGUGAAGCGGAGUACAUAGCUGCUUCGGAAGCAGCAAAUGAAGGAGUCUGGAUGAAGGAGUUCAUAUCUAAUCUAGGUGUCAUACUAGUGCAUCGGGUCCAAUGAAAAUCUUUUGUGACAAUACUGGUGCAAUUGCCUUGGCAAAGGAAUCCAGAUUUCACAAGAGAACCAAGCACAUCAAGAGACGCUUCAAUUCCAUCCGCGAUCAAGUCAAGGAGAGAGACAUAGAGAUUUGCAAGAUACAUACGGAUCUGAAUGUUGCAGACCCAUUGACUAAGCCUCUCUCACGAACAAAACAUGAUCAGCACCAAGACUCCAUGGGUGUUAGAAUCAUUACUAUGUAAUCUAGAUUAUUGACUCUAGUGCAAGUGGGAGACUGAAGGAAAUAUGCCCUAGAGGCAAUAAUAAAGUUGUUAUUUAUAUUUCCUUAUAUCAUGAUAAAUGUUUAUUAUUCAUGCUGGAAUUGUAUUAACCGGAAACUUAGUACAUGUGUGAAUACAUAGACAAAAUGAGUGUCACUAGUAUGCCUCUACUUGACUAGCUCGUUAAUCAAAGAUGGUUAAGUUUCCUAGCCAUGGAUAUGAGUUGUCAUUUGAUUAAUGGGAUCACAUCAUUAGAGAAUGAUGUGAUUGACUUGACCCAUCCGUUAGCUUAGCACGAUGAUCGUUUAGUUUGUUGCUUUUGCUUUCUUCAUAACUUAUACAUGUUCCUAUGACUAUGAGAUUAUGCAAAUCCCGAAUACUGGAGGAACACUUAGUGUGCUAUCAAACGUCACAACGAAACUAGGUGAUUAUAAAGAUGCUCUACAGGUGUCUCCCAUGGUGUUUGUUGAGUUGGCAUAGAUCGAGAUUAGGAUUUGUCACUCCGAUUGUCGGAGAGGUAUCUCUAGGCCCUCUCGGUAAUGCACAUCACUAUAAGCCUUCCAAGCAAUGUGACUAAUGAGUUAGUUACAGGAUGAUGCAUUACGGAACAAGUAAAGAGACUUGCUGGUAACGAGAUUGAACUAGGUAUUGAGAUACCGACGAUCGAAUCUCGGGAAAGUAACAUACCGAUGACAAAGGGAACAACGUAUGUUGUUAUGCGGUUUGACCAAUAAAGAUCUUCGUAGAAUAUGUAGGAACCAAUAUGAGCAUCUAGGUUACGCUAUUGGUUAUUGACCGGAGAUGAGUCUCGGUCAUGUCUACAUAGUUCUCGAACCCGUAGGGUCCGCACGCUUAACGUUCGAUGACGAUCGGUAUUAUGAGUUUAUGUGUUUUGAUGUACCGACGGUUGUUUGGAGUCCCAGAUGUGAUCAUGGACAUGAAGAGGAGUCUCGAAAUGGUCGAGACAUAAAUAUUGAUAUAUUGGAAGGCUAUGUUUGGACAUCGGAAUGGUUCCGGGUGAGUUCGGGCAUUUACCGGAGUACCGGAGGGUUACCGGAACCCCCCGGGGAGUUAUUGGGCCUUAAUGGGCCAUAGUGAAGAGAGAGAGGGGCGGCCAGGGCAGGCCGCACGCCCCCUCUCCCUUGGGUCCGAAUUGGACUAGGGAAGGGGGGCAGCGCCCCCCUUUCCUUCUCCCUCUCUCCUCCUUCCCUCUUCUCCUACUCCAACUAGGGAAAGGGGGAAUCCUACUCCCACCGGGAGUAGGACUCCCCCCUUGGGCACGCCAUGAGAGGGAUGGCCCUCCCCCUCAUCCACUCCUUUAUAUACGGGGGAGGGGGCACCCCAUAGACACACAAGUUGAUUGUUUAGCCGUGUGCGGUGCCCCCCUCCACAGAUUUCCACCUCGGUCAUAUCGUUGCAGUGCUUAGGCGAAGCCCUGCGCUGGUAGCUUCAUCAUCACCGUCACCACGCCGUCGUGCUGACGAAACUCUCCCUCGACCUCAGCUGGAUCUAGAGUUCGUGGGACGUCACCGAGCUGAACGUGUGCAGAUUGCGAAGGUGUCGUAUCUUCGGUGCUAGGAUCGGUCGGAUCGUCAAGACGUACGACUACAUCAACCGCGUUGUCAUGACGCUUCCGCUUACGGUCUACGAGGGUAUGUGGACAACACUCUCCCCUCUCGUUGCUAUGCAUCACCUAGAUGGAUCUUGCGUGUGCGUAGGAAAUUUUUUGAAAUUACUGUGUUCCCCAACAAACGGCGGCCCCCACAACCGCCAAACAUCAUCUCCAUAUCAGCCUCGAGUACUCUGAAAGGAUGGAUCCGGCAGAUGUCUCGUCCUUAAAAGAGCUGCUAGAUUGCAUGGCCGCCCUGGGGGUCGCAACAGACUAUGAUCGGAUUGGGCCUAAACCCGACCAGAGGGAAAUCAAGUCCCCACCGGUCACCCAUAUGGUAGCGGUCGUUGAGGAACGAGCCGAGAACGAUUCCUCCCCCAAGUUAAAAACCAGCUAUAUUCGGAUCUCCGAGCCCUGUGAGCCGGAUACCCAUCCCCGGGAAAAGAUAGUAUGUCCUCCGAACACAAGAUCAGCCAUUGAGCCCGGAAGUCCUCAGGACCCUCCCGAUCUUGAACUAGUGAACUCGAAGACUCUUCAAGCUCCGGACUCGAUCGUGGAUCAGGACGCGGAUUUUAGCCCGCCCACCCACCACAAUCAAUAUUCCUGAAGUAAUUCAGACCCUCCAGACAUAUGCGACCUAAUGUUUGUAUGGCGGCAACCUCAGGAAACGGUCCAUCACUUCUGGGCCUGGUUCCUCCUCGUUAAAAACAAGAUUAAAGGUUGUUGCGAUGACGAUGUGGUUUCAGUUUUCUGCCGCAACUGUACGAAUGAGGGAAUUCUCAAUGCCCUCAACCGCCACCGCAUACUGCACUUUGCAGAUUUGGCACACAUAGUACAGAAAUACUGCGCAAUGGAAAGCGCCUGGAAAGCCCAGAUAGCCCGGUGGGAACCUCCUGCCUUUAGGCAGUCCCCCGUACGGGCAAAAAGGAUGCACCCCUAUGGAGCACCCGAUCAUCAGCCUAUUGACAAGAAAAACAAGCCCUUCACGGGACAUAGAACCAUCCUUGACGUACUGCUCGACAGGCCAUGUCAGAUACAUACGACGCCGAACACCGAACCAACGCAUAGCCUUUGGACAUGUUGGGUACUCCAGCAAGUGGGUAAGAGCGGCAAGGUUAUCCUCACCAAUACUACCCCUGAGAAGCACUCUUCGGAGGAUGAUGAUCUCAACAUAUUUACGGUCUUCGAGGCCUUUUCUUCAAAUAAUCGGCGCAAAAGGGUGCUCCGCGACCUCGCCGAAGUCAACCAAGUAACCACAAUGAACCCUUGGAACGAUACGGUAAUAACUUUCACCGCCGAUGACGAACCAAGGGCCCCAGUCCGAGCACCAGCCGCCUUGGUCUUAAACCCAAUUGUGGACGGCUUUCGACUCUCCAAAGUACUCAUGGAUGGCGGCAGCGGACUUAACCUCAUCUAUGAAGAUAUGCUCGAUAUAAUGCAAAUGGACAAGAGUCGCAUCGAGCAAAGCAGUACCACCUUUCGAGGUAUUAUCCCCAGUUGAGAAGCGCGAUGCUCAGGAAAAAUUAAACUCGACGUAGUAUUCAGCACGCCUGAUAACUACAGGUCCGAAGAGUUGCUCUUCCAUGUGGCCCCUUUCAAUAGCGGAUAUCACACCCUUUUGGGGCGGGACGCCUUCGCACGCUUCCAAGCCAUCCCCCAUUACGGGUAUAGGAAGCUUAAAAUGCCAGGGCCCAAUGGAGUAAUCACUAUCACCAGUGAUCCGGAUAUAGCACUCCGCGCCGAAAACAAAACCGCAUCCUUGGCCCUCGAGGCACUAUCCGAGGCCCUCGCGGCCAAGGAGCUAGCUGAGGGAGUCCUGGACUAAGGGGUCCUUGGGCGUCCGGUCUGUUAGCCAUGGGUCGGACUGAUGGGCUGUGAAGAUACGAAGACCGAAGACUGCACCCAUGUCCGGAUGGGACUCUCCUUGGCGUGGAAGGCAAGCUUGGCGACCAAAUAUGUAGAUUCCUUUCCUUUGUAACCGACCUUGUGUAACCCUAGAUCCUCCCGGUGUCUACAUAAACCGGAGGACUUAGUCCGGAGGGGGGAUAUACUCAUUACCAUAGUCAUACGGGCUAGACUUCUAGGGUUUAGCCAUUACGAUCUCGUGGUAGAUCAACUCUUGUAAUACUCAUAUUCAUCAAGAUCAAUCAAGCAGGAAGUAGGGUAUUAUUACCUCCAUAGCGAGGGCCCGAACCUGGGUAAACAUCGUGUUCCCUGUCUCUUGUUACCGUCGACCUUAGACGCACAGUUCGGGACCCCCUACCCGAGAUCCGCCGGUUUUGACACCAACAUUGGUGAUUUCAUUGAGAGUUCCACUAUGUCGUCGACGACAGGAUCGAUGACUCGCCUCGUCCUUAAAGACAAUAUAACCGCCGGAGGAGAACUGGCCCCAGGCCAAACCCUCCGGCUGGGCAGCUUUACCAUGACCGCUCGUUCGGCCGUUAAGCCGACGAUGACCUCUCGGGCCAUCGAAGAUCCUCUUCGUAUCGACCCCAAACACUCCAAGCAGAUGGAUCCGGCGGACUUUUCAUCUUUAAACGAGCUCCUUGAUCGCAUCGCCGCCCUGGGAGUCACCACACAUUACGAUCGGAUCGGGCUUAAACCCGACCAAAGAGAAAUCAAAUCUCCACCGGUCACCCACCAGAUAGCGGUAGUCGAGGAGCAAGACGGCGACUCUUCCCCUAUACUGAAGACGGACUAUGUCCAGAUCGUCGACCCUGCAGAGCCGGAUACCCAUCAGCAAAAGGAGGUGACCGGCCUUCCGAAUAUAGGAUCGGACGGCGGGCAUAAGCAACCAGAAGAUACUCCGGGGCCCGGACUGUUAAGUCUGGAAAACCUUCAGUCUCCGGAUCAUCGAUCGAGUCAGGGUCCGGAUCCAAUUCCACCCACCCACCCAGACAUAAGCGCUCUCAUGAGCAUACAACAGCAGUCUCAGGAAACGGUCCACCACUUCUGGGCCAGAUUCCUCCUUGUCAAGGACAAGGUUAAAGAUUGCCACGACGAGGACGCGAUAUCAGCGUUCUGCAACAAUUGCAUGAACGAAGGAAUCCUCAAUGCCAUUAAUCGCCGCUGCAUACUACACUUCGCUGACUUGGCAAUUAUCGUAUAGAAGUACAGCGCAAUGGAAAGCGCCUGGAAAGAUCAGGCAGUUUGUUGGGAGCCAUCGGUCCCAACUCAACCGCUGGUCCAGGCGAAAAGGGCGCAUCCCCGUGACACGCCCAGUCCAAUAGCCAAGAAAUAUAAACCCAUUACGUGGCACGGAACCGUUCUGGAGGGAUGGCUCGAUGGCCCAUGCAAAAUACGCACAACACCGGACACCAUACCAACCCACAGCCUUAGAGCAUGUUGGAUACUCCGGCAGGUAGCCAAGAGCGGCGACGACAUCCUUACCAAAAACACCCCAGAGCAACACCCUCCAGAAGACGACGACCCCAGAGUAUUGACGGUCUUCGGGACAUUCGCUUCAAACAAUAAGCGCAAAAGGGCACUCCGCGACCUCGCCGAAGUCUGUCAAAUCGCCGCGAUAAACCCUUGGAACGACAUGGCUAUAACCUUUAAUGCCGGUGACGAACCAAAAUACAGGACAGUCCGAGCACCAGCCGCAUUAGUCCUCAGUCCCAUCGUGGACGGCUUUCGACUCACCAAGGUCCUCAUGGACGGCGGCAGCGGACUAAACCUCAUAUAUGAGGAUACACUCCACAAGAUGGAAAUAAACAGAAGCCGCAUCAAGCAAAGCAGCACGGCCUUCCGAGGAAUCAUUCCCAGUCGGGAGGCGUGGUUGCUACCUCUUGAGCACUGCGUUGGUUUUCCCUUGAAGAGGAAAGGGUGAUGCAGUAAAGUAGCGUAAGUAUUUCCCUCAGUUUUUGAGAACCAAGGUAUCAAUCCAGUAGGAGGCCACGCUCGAGUCCCACGCACCUACACAAACAAAUAAGAACCUCGCAACCAACGCGAUAAAGGGGUUGUCAAUCCCUUCACGGUCACUUACGAGAGUGAGAUCUGAUAGAUAUGAUAAGAUAAUAUUUUUGGUAUUUUUUAUGAUAAAGACUAAAAGUAAAGAUUGCAAAAUAAACAAAGAUAGAAAUAGCUUAUUGACGGAAGAUUAAUAUGAUGGAAAAUAGACCCAGGGGCCAUAGGUUUCACUAGUGGCUUCUCUCAAGAUAGCAUAAGUAUUACGGUGGGUGAACAAAUUAUUGUCGAGCAAUUGAUAGAAUUGAGCAUAGUUAUGAGAAUAUCUAGGUAUGAUCAUGUAUAUAGGCAUCAUGUCUGCGACAAGUAGACCGAAACGAUUCUGCAUCUACUACUAUUACUCCACACAUCGACCGCUAUCCAGCAUGCAUCUAGAGUAUUAAGUUCAAAAGAACAGAGUAAUGCUUUAAGCAAGAUGACAUGAUGUAGAGGGCUAAACUCAUGCAAUAUGAUAUAAACCCCAUCUUGUUAUCCUCAAUGGCAAAAAUACAAUACGUUCCUUGCUGCCCCUGCUGUCGCUAGGAAAGGACACCGAAAGAUUGAACCCAAAGCUAAGCACUUCUCCCAUUGCAAGAAAGAUCAAUCUAGUAGGCCAAACCAAACUGAUAAUUCGAAGAGACUUGCAAAGAUAACCAAUCAUACAUAAAAGAAUUCAGAGAAGAUUCAAAUGUAGUUCAUAGAUAAUCUUGAUCAUAAACCCACAAUUCAUCGGUCUCGACAAACACACCGCAAAAGAAGAUUACAUCUAAUAGAUCUCCAAGAAAAUCGACGAGAACUUUGUAUUGAGAUCCAAAGAGAGAGAAGAAGCCGUCUAGCUAAUAACUAUGGACCCGAAGAUCUGAGGUAAACUACUCACGCAUCAUCGGAGAGGCUAUGGUGUUGAUCUAGAAGCCCUCCGUGAUCAAUGCCCCCUCCGGCAGGACACCGGAAAAGGCCCCAAGAUGGGAUCUCACGGGUACAGAAGGUUGCGGCGGUGGAAUUAGGUUUUCGUGGAUGCUUCUGAUGGUUUGGGGGUACGGAGAUAUAUAUAGGAGGAAGAAGUAGGUCGGUGGAGCCACGAGGGGCCCACGAGGGUGGAGGGCGCGCCCUAGGGGGGUAGGCGUGCCCCCCUACCUCGUGGCCUCCUCGGUGAUUUCUUGACCUCCACUCCAAGUCCUCUGGAUCACGUUUGUUCCAAAAAUCACGUUCCUGAAGGUUUCAUUCCGUUUGGACUCCGUUUGAUAUUCCUUUUCUGCGAAACACUGAAAUAGGCAAAAAAACAGCAAUCUGGGCUGGGCCUCUGGUUAAUAGGUUAAUCCCAAAAAUAAUAUAAAAGUGUAUAAAUAAGCCCAUUAAACAUCCAAAACAGAAUAUAUAAUAGCAUGGAACAAUCAAACAUUAUAGAUACGUUGGAGACGUAUCAAGCAUCCCCAAGCUUAAUUCCUGCUCGUCCUCGAGUAGGUAAAUGAUAAAAACAGAAUUUUUGAUGUGGAAUGCUACUUAACAUAAUUUUCAAUGUAAUUCACUUAUUUGUGGUAUGAAUCUUCAGAUCCAAAAGAUUCAAGAUAAGAGUUUAAUAUUGACAUAAAAAUAAUAAUACUUCAAGCAUACUAACUAAGCAAUCAUGUCUUCUCAAAAUAACAUGGCCAAAGAAAGUUACCCCUACAAAAUCAUAUAGUCUGGCUAUGCUCUAUCUUCAUCACACAAAGUACUUAAUCAUACACAACCCCGAUGACAAGCCAAGCAAUUGUUUCAGACUUUUGAUGUUCUCAAACUUUUUCAAUUUUCACACAAUACAUGAGCGUGAGCCAUGGACAUAGCACUAUAUGUGGAAUAGAAUGGUGGUUGUGGAGAAGACAAAAAAGGGAGAAGAUAGUCUCACAUCAACUAGGCAUAUCAAUGGGCUAUGGAGAUGCCCAUUAAUAGAUAUCAAUGUGAGUGAGUAGGGAUUGCCAUGCAAUGGAUGCACUAGAGCUAUAAGUGUAUGAAAGCUCAAAAAGAAAGUAAGUGGGUGUGCAUCCAACUCGCUUGCUCACGAAGACCUAGGGCAUUUUGAGGAAGCCCAUCAUUGGAAUAUACAAGCCAGGUUCUAUAAUGUAAAAUUCCCACUAGUAUAUGAAAAUGACAACAUAGCAGACUCUCUAUCAUGAAGAUCAUGGUGCUACUUUUGAAGCACAAGUGUGGUAAAAGGAUAGUAACAUUGUCCCUUCUCUCUUUUUCUCUCUUUUUUUUCAUUUGGGCCUUUUCUCCUUUUUUUAUGGCCUCUUUUUUUUCUUUUUUUCUUUUUCGUCCGGAGUCUCAUCCCGACUUAUGGGGGAAUCAUAGUCUCCAUCAUCCUUUCCUCACUUGGGACAAUGCUCUAAUAAUGACGAUCAUCACACUUUUAUUUACUUACAACUCAAGAAUUACAACUCAAUACUUAGAACAACAAUAUGACUCUAUGUGAAUGCCUCCGGCGGAGGACCGGGAUAUGCAAUGAAUCAAGAGUGACAUGUAUAAAAAAUUAUGAACGAUGGCUUUGCCACAAAUACGAUGUCAACUACAUGAUCAUGCAAAGCAAUAUGACAAUGAUGAAGCGUGUCAUAGCAAACAGAACGGUGGUAAGUUGCAUAGCAAUGUAUCUCGGAAUGGCUAUGGAAAUGCCAUAAUAGGUAGGUAUGGUGGCUGUUUUGAGGAAGGUAUAUGGUGGGUGUAUGAUACCGGCAAAAAGUGUGCGGUAUUAGAGAGGCUAGCAAUGGUGGAAGGGUGAGAGUGCGUAUAAUCCAUGGACUCAACAUUAGUCAUAAAGAACUCAUAUACUUGUUGCAAAAAUCUAUUAGUUAUCAAAACAAAGUAUUACGCGCAUGCUCCUAGGGGAAUAUAUUGGUAGGAAAAGACCAUCGCUCGUCCCCGACCGCCACUCAUAAGGAAGACAAUCAAUAAAUAAAUCAUGCUCCGACUUCAUCACAUAACGGUUCACCAUACGUGCAUGCUACGGGAGUCACAAACUUUAACACAAGUAUUUCUCAAAUUCAUAACUACUCAACUAGCAUGACUCUAAUAUCACCAUCUUCAUAUCUCAAAACAAUUAUCAAGCAUCAAACUUUUCUUAGUAUUCAACGCACUUAUAAGAAAGUUUUUACUAAUCUUGGAUGCCUAUCAUAUUAGAACUACCUUCUCAAUUUAAGCAAAUUACCAUGAUGUUUUGUAGGACUCUCAAAAUAAUAUAAGUGAAGCAUGAGAGAACAAUAUUUUCUAUAAAACAAAACCACCGCCGUGCUCUAAAAGAUAUAAGUGAAGCACUAGAGCAAAAACUAUAUAGCUCAAAAGAUAUAAGUGAAGCACAUAGAGUAUUCUAAUAAUUUCCGAAUCAUGUGUGUCUCUCUCAAAAGGGUGUGUACAGCAAGGAUUAUUUUGGCAAACUAACAAACAAAGACUCAAAUCAUACAAGACGCUCCAAUCAAAACACAUAUCAUGUGGUGAAAAAAAAUAUAGCUCCAAGUAAAGUUACCGAUGGAUGAGGACGAAAGAGGGAUUUUUGGUGUCCUUAGAUUAUCUUGGGGUGCCAUGGGCAUCCCCAAGCUUAGGCUCUUGCCACUCCUUGUUCCAUAAUCCAUCAAAUCGUUUACCCAAAACUUGAAAACUUCACAACACAAAACUUAACAGAAAAUCUCAUGAGCUCCGUUAGCGAAAGAAAACAAAACACCACUUCAAGGUACGGUAAUGAACUCAUUUUUUAUUUAUAUUGGUGUUAAACCUACUGUAUUCCAACUUCUCUAUGGUUUAUAAACUAUUUUACUAGCCAUCUAUUCAUCAAAAUAAGCAAAUAACACACGAAAAACAGAAUCUGUCAAAAACAGAACAGUCUGCAGUAAUCUGUAACUAACGCAAACUUCUGGAACUCUAAAAAUUCUGCCAAAAUAGGACGACCUAAAUAAUUUGUUUAUUGAUCUGCUGCAAUUGGAAUCAAUAUUAUAUCACGUUCUGGUAAUCUUUAACAAUUGUUUUCGUGAACAGAAAGUUUCUGGAAUUUUCAGCAAGAUCAAAUAACUAUCAUCCAAGAAGUUCCUAUAGGUUUAACUUGGCACAAACACUAAUUAAAACACAAAAACAAAUCUAACCAGAGGAUAGAUCAAAGAUUUACUCCUAAACAGAAGCAAAAAGCAAAAAACUAAAAAUAAAAUUGGGUUGCCUCCCAACAAGCGCUAUCGUUUAACGCCCCUAGCUAGGCAUAAAAACAAGGAUAGAUCUAGGUAUUGCCAUCUUUGGUAGGCAAUCCAUAAGUGGCUCUCAUAAUAGAUUCAUAAGGUAAUUUAAUUUUCUUUCUAGGAAAGUGUUCCAUGCCUUUCCUUAACGAAAAUUGGAAUCUAAUAUUCCCUUCCUUCAUAUCAAUAAUUGCACCAAUCGUUCUAAGAAAAGGUCUACCAAGAAUAAUAGGACAUGAAGGAUUGCAAUCUAUAUCAAGAACAAUAAAAUCUACGGGCACAUAGUUCCUAUUUGCAAUGAUAUGAACAUCAUUAAUUCUUCCCGUAGGUUUCUUAAUAGUGGAAUCCGCAAGGUGUAAGUUUAAAGAGCAAUCAUCAAAUUCGCGGAAACCUAACAAAUCACAUAAAGUUUUUGAAUCGUGGAAACACUAGCACCCAAAUCACACAAAGCAUAGCAUUCAUGAUCUUUAAUUUUAUUUUAAUAGUAGGUUCCCACUCAUCAUAAAGUUUUCUAGGGAUAGAAACUUCCAACUCAAGUUUUUCUUCAUAAGAUUGCAUUAAAGCAUCAAUGAUAUGUUUAGUAAAAGCUUUAUUUUGAUUAUAAGCAUGAGGAGAAUUUAGCACGGAUUGCAACAAGGAAAUAUAAUCUAUCAAAGAGCAAUUAUCAUAAUUAAAUUUCUUGAAAUCCAAAAUAGUGGGUUCAUUGAUAUCUAAAGUUUUGACCUCUUCAAUCCCACUUUUACAAAUUUUAGCAUCAUGAUUUAAAAACUCCGAUUUUUUGGAACGCCUUCUAGGUAAAGGUGGCUCAUCUCCAGUCCCAUAAUUAUCAAGAUUCAUAUUGCCAAACAAAGAUUUAAUAGGAGACACAUCAAUAACUUCUAUAUCUUCCUCUUUAUUCUCAUAAAAAUUAGAAGAACACGCUUUGACAAAGCAAUCUUUCUUAGCACGCAUCCUAGCGGUUCUUUCUUUGCACUCAUCAAUGGAAAUUCUCAUAGCUUUGAGAGACUCAUUGAUAUCAUGCUUAGGUGGAAUAUAUCUAAGUUUCAAAGAAUCAACAUCAAGAGAAAUUCUAUCAACGUUCCUAGCCAAUUCAUCCACCUUACGCAUUUUUUCUUCAAGCAAAGCGUUGAAAUUCUUUUGCGAAUUCAUAAAAUCCUUAACACUAGUCUCAAAUUCAGAGGGCGUCUUAUUAAAAUUUCCAUAAGAGUUAUUGUAGGAAUUACCAUAAUUAUUAGAGGAAUUACUAGGAUACGGCCUAGGAUUAAAGUUUCCUCUAUACGCGUUGUUACCAAAAUUAUUCCUACCAACAAAAUUCACAUCCAUAGAUUCAUUAUUAUUCUCAAUCAAAGUAGACAAUGGCAUAUCAUUAGGAUCACAAGAAACACUUUUAGUAGCAAAUAAUUUCAUAAGUUCAUCCAUCUUUCCACUCAAAACAUUAAUUUCUUCUAUUGCAUGCACUUUUUUAUUAGUAGAUCUUUCGGUGUGCCAUUGAGAAUAAUUAACCAUAAUAUUAUCUAGGAGUUUAGUAGCUUCUCCUAAAGUGAUUUCCAUAAAAGUGCCUCCCGCGGCCGAAUCUAAAAGAUUUCUAGAAGCAAAAUUCAAUCCGGCAUAAAAAAAUUGUAUAAUCAUCCAAAGAUUCAAACCAUGUGUAGGGCAAUUACGUAUUAUUAAUUUCAUCCUCUCCCAAGCUUGUGCAACAUGUUCAUGAUCAAGUUGCUUAAAAUUCAUGAUAUCGUUUCUAAAAGAGAUGAUUUUAGCGGGAGGAAAAUACUUAGAGAUAAAAGCAUCUUUGCAUUUAUUCCAUGAAUCAAUACUAUUUUUAGGCAAAGACGAAAACCAAGCUUUAGCACGAUCUCUAAGCGAAAAGGAAAUAGCUUCAAUUUAACAAUAUCAUUAUCCACAUCUUUCUUCUUUUGCAUACCACACAAAUCAGCAAAGCUAUUCAGAUGGGUAGCGGCAUCUUCACUAGGAAGGCCGGCGAAUUGAUCUUUCAUGACAAGAUUCAGCAAAGCAGCAUUAAUUUCACAAGAUUCAGCAUCGGUAAGAGGAGCAACCGGAGUGCUAAGAAAAUCAUUGUUGUUGGUAUUGGUAAAGUCACACAAUUUAGUAUUAUCUUGAGCCAUAGUGACGAGCAAACAAUCCAACACACGAGCAAACAAGAAGCGAGCGAAAAAGAGGCGAACGAAAAAGAGAGGGCGAAUAAAACGGCAAGGGUGAAGUGGGGGAGAGGAAAACGAGAGGCAAAUGGAAAAUAAUGUAAUGCGAGGGAUAAGAGUUUGUGAUGGGUACUUCGUAUGUUGCCUUGUGCGUAGAUCUCCAUGGCAACGGCGCCAGAAAUGGCUAGUUGCUGGGAGAUCAAAUCUUAACUUGACUUGGCAUAAGCCUCCCCGGCAACGGCGCCAGAAAUCCUUGUUGCUACCUCUUGAGCACUGCGUUGAUUUUCCCUUGAAGAGGAAAGGGCGAUGCAGUAAAGUAGCGUAAGUAUUUCCCUCGGUUUUUGAGAACCAAGGUAUCAAUCCAGUAGGAGGCCACGCUCGAGUCCCACGCACCUACACAAACAAAUAAGAACCUCGCAACCAACGUGAUAAAGGGGUUGUCAAUCCCUUCAUGGUCACUUACGAGAGUGAGAUCUGAUAGAUAUGAUAAGAUAAUAUUUUUGGUAUUUUUUAUGAUAAAGACUAAAAGUAAAGAUUGCAAAAUAAACAAAGAUAGAAAUAGCUUAUUGACGGAAGAUUAAUAUGAUGGAAAAUAGACCCAGGGGCCAUAGAUUUCACUAGUGGCUUCUCUCAAGAUGGCAUAAGUAUUACGGUGGGUGAACAAAUUACUGUCGAGCAAUUGAUAGAAUUGAGCAUAGUUAUGAGAAUAUCUAGGUAUGAUCAUGUAUAUAGGCAUCACGUCCGCGACAAGUAGACCGAAACGAUUCUGCAUCUACUACUAUUACUCCACACAUCGACCGCUAUCCAGCAUGCAUCUAGAGUAUUAAGUUCAAAAGAACAGAGUAAUGCUUUAAGCAAGAUGACAUGAUGUAGAGGGAUAAACUCAUGCAAUAUGAUAUAAACCCCAUCUUGUUAUCCUCGAUGGCAACAAUACAAUACGAGCCUUGCUGCCCCUGCUGUCACUAGGAAAGGACACCGCAAGAUUGAACCCAAAGCUAAGCACUUCUCCCAUUGCAAGAAAGAUCAAUCUAGUAGGCCAAACCAAACUGAUAAUUCGAAGAGACUUGCAAAGAUAACCAAUCAUACAUAAAAGAAUUUAGAGAAGAUUCAAAUAUUGUUCAUAGAUAAUCUGGAUCAUAAACCCACAAUUCAUCGGUCUCGACAAACACACCGCAAAAGAAGAUUACAUCGAAUAGAUCUCCAAGCAAAUCAAGGAGAACUUUGUAUUGAGAUCCAAAGAGAGAGAAGAAGCCAUCUAGCUAAUAACUAUGGACCCGAAGGUCUGAGGUAAACUACUCACGCAUCAUCGGAGAGGCUAUGGUGUUGAUGUAGAAGCCCUCCGUGAUCAAUGCCCCCUCCGGCAGGACGCCGGAAAAGGCCCCAAGAUGGGAUCUCACGGGUACAGAAGGUUGUGGCGGUGGAAUUAGGUUUUCGUGGAUGCUUCUGAUGGUUUGGGGGUACGGAGAUAUAUAUAAGAGGAAGAAGUAGGUCGGUGGAGCCACGAGGGGCCCACGAGGGUGGAGGGCGCGCCCUGGGGGGGUAGGCGCGCCCCCCUACCUCGUGGCCUCCUUGAUGAUUUCUUGACAUCCACUCCAAGUCCUGUGGAUCACGUUUGUUCCAAAAAUCACGUUCCCGAAGGUUUCAUUCCGUUUGGACUCCGUUUGAUAUUCCUUUUCUGCAAAACACUGAAAUAGGCAAAAAAACAGCAAUUUGGGCUGGGCCUCUGGUUAAUAGGUUAGUCCCAAAAAUAAUAUAAAAGUGUAUAAAUAAGCCCAUUAAACAUCCAAAACAGAAUAUAUAAUAGCAUGGAACAAUCAAAAAUUAUAGAUACGUUGGAGACGUAUCAGCGGUGUGCGGGAAAAAUCACACUUGACGUGGUAUUCGGCAUGCCGGAGAAUUAUCGGUCCGAAGAAAUCACCUUCUAAGUGGCUCGUUUCAGCAGCGGAUACCACGCCCUGUUGGGGCGAGAUGCUUUUACACGCUUCCCAGUUAUACCUCAUUACGGGUACAUGAAGCUCAAAAUGCCCGGAUCAAACGGCAUAAUUACUCUUGUCAGUGAUCCAGACAUAGCACUCCGCGCCGAAAACAAAACCGCAUCCCUGGCCCUUGAGGCAUUAUCUGAAGCCCUCGCGGCCGAAGAAUUAACCGCACUGCGCUCUACGGUGGAUAGGGACGAUGUGAUCUUAGACAAACGACCCAAAUCCACCUCCUUCAAACCGGCAGAAGAAAUAGUCAAAUUCCAGGUCCACCCAACGGACCCCAAGAAGACAGCAUCCAUUGGAGCACAACUAGACCCAACGGUCGACGCCGCACUACGGGAUUUCCUUCGUGAAAACUGGGAUAUAUUCGCCUCGCACCCUUCUGACAUGCCUGGAAUCCCACGCGAGCUGGCCGAACAUAGCCUCAAUAUAUUAAAGGAAUACAAACCAGUCAAACAAGCACUGCGACGCUUUUCCGAACCCAAACGCCAAGCUAUGGGGGAGGAGCUGGCCAAGCUAAUCGAGGUCAGAUUCAUCAGAGAAAUAAAACAUCCGGACUGGCUGGCAAACCUGGUGAUGGUACCAAAGAAGGACAAAUCCUGGCGCAUGUGCGUCGAUUUUAAAGACAUCAAUAAGGCUUGCCCUAAGGAUCCCUUCCCCCUCCCCCGCAUUGAUCAAAUCAUCGAUACUACCGCGGGACAUGACUCACUGUGUUUCCUUGAUGCAUAUUCCGGAUACCAUCAAAUCAAAAUGAAGGAGUCCGAUCAAGCUGCAAACGGCAUUUAUUACCCCAUAUGGGCCAUUCUGCUUCAACACCAUGCCCUUCGGGCUCAAGAACGCCGGCGCCACAUACCAACGCAUGAUUCAAACAUGCCUGGAGAAACAGAUCGGCAAGAUAGUUGAAGCUUAUGUGGACAAAGUCAUCAUCAAAACUAGGCACGUCGAAACACUAAUAGACGAUUUACGUCUCACAUUCGACAACCUCCGCGCGUAUGACAUUAAGCUCAAUCCGGAAAAGUGUGUUUUCGGCGUCCCCGCUGGAAAACUGUUGGGCUUCAUCGUUUCCAAUAGAGGAAUUGAAGCAAAUCCAGCCAAAAUUCGAGCUCUGUCUCAACUGGCCACGCCAACGGACCUCAAACAAGUCCAAAAACUUGCGGGUUGCAUGGCAGCUCUAAGCCGCUUCAUCUCCAGAUUGGGAGAAAAGGCACUGCCACUCUAUCGCCUUCUAUGGAGAACCGAUCACUUCGAGUGGACAGACGCGGCAACAGCCGGACUGGAGGAAAUAAAAACCCUUCUAGCGAACAACCCAAUCCUGGCCGCGCCAAACGUCGGCGAACCAAUGUUAUUAUACAUAUCGGCAACACAUCAAGUGGUGAGCGCCGUGCUCGUCGUUGAACGAGAACAGGACGGACACAAAUUCCCGCUUCAGAAGCCAGUAUACUAUGUAUCCACUGUCCUUACACCAUGAAAAUCCCGGUACCCCCAUUAUCAAAAGAUAGCAUACGCGGUCUUCAUGGCAUCCCGAAAGCUCCGACACUACUUCCAGGAGUGUUCGAUCACGGUGGCUUCCAAAGUACCACUCAACGACAUUAUAAACAACCGCGAUGCCAUGGGCCGGAUUGCCAAAUGGGCCAUUGAGCUCCUUCCAUUUGAUAUUACGUACAAACCACGUCGAGAUGUUAAAUCCCAAGUACUGGCUGACUUCGUCGCCGAAUGGACAGAGGCCGAACUCCCUAAAGAGUACGGCACAUAUUCCAAUUGGGUUAUGUAUUUCGAUGGCUCCAAAAUGCUGGCGGGGCUAGGAGCGGGCGUCGUUUUAACGUCCCCUACUGGAGACGUCGUUCAGUACAUACUCCAAAUACUAUACACAGAUUCCAACAACGCAGCCGAAUACGAGGCCUUAUUGCAUGGUCUCCGGAUGGCUAUCUCCAUGGGCAUACAACGCCUGGAGGUGCGCGAGGACUCAAACCUGGCAAUAUCUCAAAUAAAUGGAGAUUUCGAUGCCAAGGUUCCAAAGAUGGCAGCUUAUCGUAAUGUCGUCCUAAAAAUGUCGGCUCGGUUCGAGGGGCUCGAGUUCCAUCACAUGGCCCGAGAGAGUAAUCAAGCGCCGGACGUUCUCGGUCGCAUUGGCGCCAAGCGUGACCCCGUCCCACCUAAUAUCUUUCUGGAAAAACUUUCCAAGCCAUCCGUGGUGUGGCAGGGGGAAAGCAUCGACACUAGUCUGGAUCCGAAGACAACUCCAGAUUUCGAACACAUAGAUAUCAUCGGCGGCUCAGCCACCGAAAUAACACCGUCGGCCCAUCUCAUUAUGGCAGUCAUUGCCCCAUGGACCGAACCCUUCUUGGCCUACCUUAAUAGGAAGGAACUUCCUGAGGAUCAGAAUGAGGCGCACCGCAUUGUCCGGCGUUCGAAGGCCUAUAAGGUUCACGAUGGAAAACUAUAUAAGAAAAGCGCUACCGGAGUCCUUCAAAGAUGUAUCUCCGAGGAGGAGGGGCGACAGCUCCUGGCUGAGAUUCACGCCGGUCUUGGCGGGCACCACGCUGCAGCUCGGGCCCUUGUUAGGAAGGCCUUCCGUACAGGGUUUUAUUGGCCGACGGCCCGAGCAGAUGCCCAGGACCUUGUCCAACGUUGCGUCGGAUGCCAACUCUUCGCCAACCAAAGCCAUAUGCCCCCCACUGCCCUACAAACAAUCCCCAUCACUUGGCCUUUUGCGGUCUGGGGACUGGAUAUGGUUGGACCCCUUAAAGGAGGAAGCCAUAAGAAAAAAUAUUUGUUGGUCAUGGUGGAUAAAUUCGCUAAGUGGAUAGAGGCCAAACCAGUUAAAACGGCUGAAUCUAGGCCGGUGAUAGAAUUCAUAUCCGGCGUUGUACACCGUUAUGGUGUUCCGCACAGUAUCAUCACCGAUAACGGCUCCAACUUCACAGCCGACGAAGUAAAAACCUGGUGCGCCAAUCUGGGCAUCAAGCUCGAUUACGCCUCUGUCUAUCACCCACAGACAAAUGGUCAAGUCGAAAGAGCCAAUGGUCUCAUUAUGAGCGGCAUUAAGCCUAGACUAGUGCGGUCUUUGAAGGAACCAGACAAGCACUGGGUUGAGGAGCUCGACUCCGUACUCUGGGGGCUGCGGACCACUCCCAAUCGCACUACCGGAUACACACCUUUUUUCAUGGUGUACGGCGCAGAGGCGGUACUACCCUGUGACAUUAUUCAUGACUCACCUCGAGUGUGCAUGUACGAAGAGAGAGAGGCCGAGCUCGAUCGGCAGGACAGCUUACAUGCCCUGGAGGAGGAGCGCGAUGUCACAAAAGCCCAUUCCGCAUUUUAUCAACAGCAGGCUCACAGGUAUCAAAGCAGAGAAGUGCGGGCCAAAACUUACAACGUCGGCAAACUCGUUCUACGCCUGACGGAGAAGAAAAAGGACAAACUCAAGCCCAAGUGGGAAGGUCCCUUCAUCAUCGACAAAGUUCUCACCGGAGGGGCGUACCGCUUGCGUGAUGUGUCAGACAAUCGACUAGAGCCGAACCCCUGGAAUGCGGCCAGACUCCGAAGAUUCUAUGCCUAGCGUUGAACUCUUUGUUCGUCUCCUUCCUCUUAUUGUUUUCAUCAUUUUUUCUCUCUUUUCGUUUUUUCUCUUUAGCCUUAAAAAGCUUCCGUGCGGUUAGACCUUGCACCCCCAACGCAUACAUCUUCAAGUAUGUACGUCUAUUAUACCUGGGGGCUUCUUGGACAGAAGCUUGCUAUUACUAUUUUCCGAGCAUCAAGCUCAUCACAUAUGCGUUUUCUCCCAUAUGUACCUUUUCUUUGCCAUUAUAUGCAUCGAUAUGACUUAAGUUUUGGCCAAGCUGGGUUGCCUGGCUCCUGUGCUUAUGCCCUACGUUCACGUUAGUUCGGCUAGGGCAUAAAGGGAGCACCUCUGCGAUUGUUACUGCCGGGUCAUCCGGAUGUGUACCUCAGACUGGGUGAAGCCGAAAGCUAGCAUUCUUAAGGGAAUAUUCGGUCGGUGAACUAAAGAUGUUUUUGCACUCGUUCCGUUGUGAACCCCCAGAAGCUAUACACACUAUGAUUUUUUUCAUCACAGUCCGGACAUGCACAUAGAUGCAUGCACACCCAGGGAAAGGAACCCUUAACGGAGCUAUUCUCCCUGGAAGAUGUUUCUUACAAUUUUAAUGUAAUAUAACAUAACUAGCCGGAUACAACUUGUCUGUUCAAGCAACUAUGCCCCCUACGCCUGGUUUCCACGCAUACCCCGGUUUAUUUUGCCGCUCAGGUAUUCGGAAACACUCCGCGCCUUCGGGUCGAGAGGUCGAAGCAAAAAGGUCGGCCAUGACAAUCGUUUUACAAUCGAGCUAGAAGGAAAGUACAUAGUCACUUAGGACUUAAAAACUUCCUCCUCUAUACCGUCCAACAGGCAGUCUAAUUUACAAUCAUGUUGGGAAUACCUAGCAGCCACCUCUACUUGGUCAUAUACUAAACUAACGGGAAUUUCUUCCCCAUUUGACCCUAGCGGUCUGACCCGGGCCAUGUGAUUCAGAUCCAGCUUGGUAUACCGCGUUUUUACCAUGGCCCAGGCCUCUCGUGCACCCUCUCAGCAGGCCGAUAUCUUCCAUAGUCGGAUACGCCGCCGCGCUCCCUUGAACAGCUCUACAAGCUUCUCCAUACUCCCUGGAGGGGAGGCGGAAGGCCAUAAGGCCUUGGCUACACUCCGCAUUGCCUGCCGAGCUUGCUUGUGCAACUGCGACAGCCCUUGCAGAAGAUCACUUGAUGAUCCGGACACCUCCUCUUCGGGACGGCCCGUCAACAUACCUGCAAUCACAGCUAUAUCAGCUACUUUUACCUCCAAACUGUUAUAAGGUAAAUUCGGCCACAUACUGAAUAUGCCGCCUCGCAGCUUUUUGUUCUCCUUCACGGAGUCGGCUAGCUGGGCCCGCACAUCCUUCAGCUCUUCACCUAGCUGGGUGUUUGCAUCUUGGAGUUUGUUUUUCUCCUGUCUGACACGGGUCAAAACCCGCUCGCCUGCGGCAUGCAGUCUUUUCGACUCUUUUUCCUCCAGUUGAUCCGAUGAUCCUAUUAUGAGAUAAAGCCGCAGUGUUAACACGGUCGCUACACAAUAACUGUUUCUCGAUGGAGGGAAAUAUUACCGGAAGACGCCGCCUUGGAUUUUUUCCAGUUCGGCGGUCACUGCGUUUAACUGCGUCCGGCACUUUUCUAGCUCUUGGGCUAGCACGUCGUUCUUCUCAGACAGAACCUGAUUGUGCAGCGAUCCUCAAAUCAGUUGCUCCAACAACUUUAAGUCUCGGGGGCUACUGGCAUACGGUUAUCAUACUGAGACACAGUAAACUGACCUGCACAUAUUUUAAAUGCUGGUUUGUGGCUCUGCCAAGCCCAUCUCGAGCAGCUCGGAUGUAUGCAUCAGCCGAGCUGAAGGCAUUAAACGCCUCUUUCGAAAAGCGGGGGUCUCGUAAAAUGGCCCUCCGGCGCCGAUGAUUCAUGGCGCUUUCCACUUCCGAGUUGGUGGCGGACAUAUUUUUCGAGCCCUCGGCCGAAGGACAGUCCGGCGUCACUCCCAUAUCGGCCCCCGUCCCCUCGGCUGGGGAUGGAUCCCAGCUGUUGGGGGUAUUGUUGACCGGACCCCCGGACACAGUCCGGCGGACUCUUUUCCUGAUACGGGAUGAACAUGAAAGUCACAGUUGGAUGCGACUAUUAAAAAACAUAUUUACAAACCCAUACCUCUUUGACGAGGGCCCGACCGUGUCUUCGUUUGCCUUCCUCUUCGAAGGCUUGCCCAGUGCGGGAGCCGCUCUCUUCGGAGUCGCUCCUGAAGUAGCACGGUAUGUCAAACGCCUCCCCUUUGAAGCACGAGACAGUGCGGUGGGUGAGGCGGAACGAGGGAACCCUUUCAGGGGAGAUGUCUCAUGACUACUUACGUGCGAAGCGGGGAGAAGACCAGGUUAAUCGGUGAUGAUGGCCACUUCGGUGUCGUCGUAGCUCGCCUGGUAAAACACGCCAUUCUCGAGCACCACGAAUAUAUCCGGAUCCUCUUCGAAUCCGGGGUCAAGGUCCCGAUCGUGGCCCUCGGGCUGCGGGGCGGGGCUGUGAAGCCCCUCGGAAAUCUUUCGCCAGUGCUGUUACAAAUGGACGGGUUAAUAUUCAUUGAACGAAGCUCAGGGAGUGGAAUGAGUAGAGCAGAAGAGUUGGGGGCUUACCCAGCUAGGAGGACUGUACAUGCAAUAUCCUUCUCUGUGCGUGAUGCGCAGGAACUCCUCUUCCUCACCCUUGAACAGUUCGGCCAAUAUUUUGGCUAGCGCGGCAGGGGUGUCCGGACCUUUCCUGCCGCAGCGGGAGGCGUCAUCUUCCUCAUUGUAGUUCCACAUGGGAAGUCCUCUGUAUUGAAGUGGCUGGACCCCCGCACUAUGGAGGUCGCCAUCACUUCGACUAUCGUAUAUCUGGACUGGGAAAGCGUCCUGAUCUUGCUCAGGAGUUGGCGUACUUCCGCACUGUCUUCCUCCUCGAGGCUCCAAGGACGCCAGCUGCGGUGUUUCUUUAGAGGAACACUUGCAAACUUGGGGAGACCCCUCCAGACUGGAUCUGGAAGUACGACGUCCUUGAUGUAAAACCACUCAGUGGUCCACUCUUCGGAAGCUUUCUUCGGUGUGCCGGAUAGGUAUCCGGUCUCAGCAAUACGCCAUAUUUCAUCUCCGCCCACUUCAAAAAUUGAUCCCUCGUGGUUACGCAGGACAAGACAAAAUAACCUUCUCCACAGAUCAAAAUGGGCCUCACAACCCAGGCAUAGUUCGCAUAAAGCGACAUAGCCUGCGAUAUGCAGGACGGAGGCUGGGGUAAAGUUGUGCAGCUGGAGGCCAUAAUAUUCCAGAAGCCCUCGGAGGAAUGGGUGAAUUGGAAAUCCCACGCCUCUUAGCAAAUAGGGGACGAAGCACACUCGUUCCCCCGCAGAUGGAUUGGGGAAAUCCUCCGCCUGGGUUUUGCCGUUGAAGGAAGCCAACCCUGCUCGAACUGGGACCAGAUCUGCAGGAGGGAGAAACCCCUACGUUUGCAACUUCUCUAGCUGACCAUGGGAUACGGAGCACCUCUCCCACUCGCCUUUCUCUGGGUCGGAAUGAGAGAAGGAGCGGGGAAUGCUAGCCAUGGUGGAAUGAUCUUUCCUAGCAAUCUCUGAGCAUUUUCUCCGCGUGGUGCCGAAUGGGCCUGAGAUCCAAUCUCUUUAAAUAGACGAUCUUUCUUGCGUGGCCGGGGUGUUAUUCGCAAAAAAUACCCUGACCAUCCGCAUUCGCUCGACACAUGGAAGCUGAAGUCACCGAUGCAUAGAAGCCGAGGGGUGCGACAUUGAAUUAAAAGCCGAAUACAUUACUUGGAAGUCGUCGGAGGAGGAACCUACCUUGCAAUGCCAAAGACAAUCUAUGCGCCGAACACCUCGUCAUUGAAGACUGGUUCAGGGGCUACUGAGGGAGUCCUGGACUAAGGGGUCCUCGGGCGUCCGGCCUGUUAGCCAUGGCCGGACUGAUGGGCUGUGAAGAUACAAAGACCGAAGACCACACCCGUGUCCGCAUGGGACUCUCCUUGGCGUGGAAGGCAAGCUUGGCGACCAAAUAUGUAGAUUCCUUUCCUUUGUAACCGACCUUGUGUAACCCUAGAUCCUCCUGGUGUCUAUAAACCGGAGGACUUAGUCCGGAGGGGGGAUAUACUCAUUACCAUAGUCAUACAGGCUAGACUUCUAGAGUUAACCAUUACGAUCUCGUGGUAGAUCAACUCUUGUAAUACUCAUAUUCAUCAAGAUCAAUCAAGCAGGAAGUAGGGUAUUACCUCCAUAGAGAGGGCCCGAACCUGGGUAAACAUCAUGUUCCCUGUCUCCUGUUACCAUUGACCUUAGACGCACAGUUCGGGACCCCCUACCCGAGAUCCGCCGGUUUUGACACCGACACUAACCACUCUGCGCUCCAAAGUGGACAGAGACGAUGUAAUCCUCGACAAGAGGCCCAAAUCCAUAUCUUUCAAACCAGCAGAUGAAAUAGUCAAAUUUCAAGUGCACCUGACAGAUCCAAACAAAACAGCAUCCAUUGGAGCACAGCUGGAUCCGACGAUCGACGCUAGCUACGAGCAUUCCUCCGUGAAAAUUGGGACAUUUUUUCCUGGCAUCCUUCGGACAUGCCCAGAAUCCCACGACGACUGGCCGAACACAGCCUCAACAUAAUAAAAGGGUUCAAACCAGUCAAGCACACACUACGGUGCUUUUCCCAGCCCAAACGACAAGCUAUGGGCGAGGAGCUAGCCAAGCUACUUGAAGCCGGGUUCAUUAGAUAAAUCAAGCACCCGGACUAGCCAGCCAACCUAGUCAUGGUACCGAAGAAGGAUAAAUCCUGGCGCCUCUGUAUCAAUUUCAAAGACCUCAAUAAGGCUUGCCCUAAGGACCCCUUCCUGCUGCCCCGCAUUGACCAAAUCAUUGACGCAACCGCAGGACAUGACUCAUUGUGUUUCCUCGAUGCAUACUCCGGAUACCAUCAAAUUAAGAUGAAGGAGUCCGAUCAGGCCGCAAUGGCAUUCAUUACCCCUUAUGGGCCUUUCUGCUUCAACACUAUGCCUUUCGGCUCAAAAACGUGGGCGCCACUUACCAACGCAUGAUUCAAACAUGCCUGGAAAAACAAAUUGGCAAGAUAGUGGAGGCAUACAUGGAUGAUGUAGUCAUCAAGGCUAAACAUGUCAAAUCAUUGGUGGACGAUCUACGCCUCACAUUCGACAACCUCCGAACAUAUGACAUACGGCUCAAUCCGGAAAAAUGUGUCUUCGGCGUUCCAGCCGGAAAACUAUUCGGGUUCAUUGUUUCCAAUAGAGGAAUCGAAGCGAACCCAGCCAAAAUUUGAGCCCUGUCACAAUUGGCAAUGCCAACAGACCUAAAGCAGGUCCAAAAACUAGUUGGUUGUGUGGCGGCCUUAAGCCGCUUCAUCUCCAGAUUAGGAGAAAAGGCGCUACCACUUUAUCGACUACUCCGGCGCCUCGACCACUUUGAAUGGAUGGAUGCGGCUACAGCCGGACUGGAAGAAAUAAAAGCCUUGUUAGCAGGCAACCCAACCCUAGCCGCACCAGGUGUCGGCAAGCCUAUGUUGCUCUACAUAUCUGCGACUCACCAGGUAAUAAGCUCCGUACUCGUCGUUGAACGAGAGGAAGAGGGACACAAAUUCCCCAUACAGAAACCGGUGUACUAUGUAUCGGCGGUCCUUACACCAUGCAAAUCUCGAUACCCGCACUAUUAGAAUAUAGUGUAUGCGAUCUUCAUGGCAUCUCGGAAGCUACGACACUACUUUCAAGAGUGCUCGAUCACAGUGGCAUCCGAAGUACCACUCAAUGACAUCAUAAAUAAUUGGGACGCCAUCGACCGCAUAGCCAAAUGGGCCAUCGAGCUCUUACCAUUUGAAAUAACAUACAAGCCGUGCCGAGCUAUUAAAUCUCAGGUGUUGGCCGACUUUGUCGCCGAGUGGACGGAAGCCAAACUCCCUAAAGAGUACAACACAUACUCCAACUGGGUAAUGUACUUCGACGGCUCUAAAGUGUUAGCCGGAUUAGGGGCUGGUGGCAUCUUGACAUCCCCUACAGGGGACACAGUCUGCUACGUGUUACAAAUCAUGUAUACGGACUCCAACAAUGCGGCCGAAUACGAGGCACUACUACAUAGUCUCUGAAUGGUUGUCUCUAUGGGCAUACAGCGCCUAGAGGUGCGUGGGGACUCGAACCUCGCAAUAUCCCAAAUAAAUGGAGAAUUCGAUGCGAAGGAUCCAAAGAUGGCGGCAUAUCGAAAUGUCGUACUCAAAAUAUCAGCUCGGUUUGAGGGGCUCGUGUUCCAUCACAUUGCUCGAGACAGUAAUCAGGCAGCGGGCAUCCUUGCUCGAAUGGCGGCUAAAUGCAAUCCCAUCCCACCUAACACCUUUAUGGAAAGGCUCUUCAAGCCAUUCGUGGUAUGGCAGGACGAGAGCGGAAACACUAGUCCGGAGCCAAUCAUACCCCCAGAUGCCGAACACAAUUCUGAUAUCAUCAGGGGAUCGGGCACCGAAAUGACACCUUCUGCCCAUGUAAUCAUGGCUGUCAUGGCUCCAUGGACCGAACCCUUCCUGGCCUACCUUAAUAGGAAGGAGCUCCCUGAUGACCAGAAUGAGGCCCGUCGCAUAGUCUGACGCUCUAAAGCCUACAAAGUUCACGAAGGUGAACUCUACAAGAAAAGUACUACUGGAGUUCUUCAAAGAUGCAUCUCCGAAGAGGAGGGACGGCAACUCUUGGCCGAAAUACAUGCUGGUCUUGGUGGCCAUCACGCUGCAGCUCGGGACCUCGUAAGCAUGGCCUUCCGUACAGGUUUCUUUUGGCCAACGGCCCAAGCAUAUGCACAGGCCCUUGUACAGCGUUGCGUAGGAUGUCAGAUUUUCGCCAAUCAAAGUCAUAUGCCGCCCACUGCCUUAAGAAUAGUCCCCAUUACUUGGCCUUUUGCGGUCUAGGGGCUAGACAUGGUCGGACCCCUUAAAGGGGGAAGCCACAAGAAGAAAUAUUUGCUGGUUAUGGUGGAUAAAUUCACUAAGUGGAUAGAGGCCAAACCAGUAAAAACGGCUGAAGUCGGUCCGGUGAUCGACUUUAUAUCCAGCAUGGUCCACCGUUAUGGUGUCCCACACAGCAUCAUUACUGACAAUGGCUCUAAUUUCACAGCCGAUGAGGUAAAAAAUUGGUGUGCUAAUUUGGGCAUUAAGCUCGAUUACACCUCCGUAUAUCACCCUCAAACAAAUGGUCAGGUCGAACGGGCUAAUGGCCUGAUAAUGAGUGGUAUCAAACCCAGGCUAGUGUGAUCCCUACGGGAGUCAUAUAAACAAUGGGUGAAGGAACUCGAUUCCGUACUCUGGGGACUGCGGACUAUGCCCAAUCGUACAACCGGAUACACUCCCUUUUUACGGUGUACGGCGCAGAGGCUGUCUUACCCUGCGACAUUAUUCAUGACUCACCUCGAGUGCGCAUGUAUGAAGAGAGAGAGAGGCCAAGCUCGAUCAGCAGGACGACCUAGAUGGCCUGGAGGAGGAGCGUGACAUUGCAAAGGCUCGUUCUGCAUUCUAUCAACAACAGGCUCGGCGAUACCAAAGCAGAGAAGUGCGGGCCAAGACUUAUAAUGUCGACGAACUCGUUCUACGCCUCCCAGAGAAGAAGAAGGAUAAGCUCAAACCAAAAUGGGAGGGCCCCUUUAUUAUAGAUGAAGUUCUCACAUGAGGGGCCUAUCGCCUUCGUAAUGCAUCGGGUAAUCACCUAGAGCCGAAUCCAUGGAACGCUGCUUGGCUCCGAAGAUUCUACCCAUAAGUGUGGCCACGUUUCUUUUUCGUUUUUUCUCCUCUUCAUUUCUUUUUAUUUCCUCGUUUUUGUACGAUUUCCAGGAUAUGUUCGGAUAGGCCAAACACUUGAGGGGUACACAUCCUAAAAUGUAUAUACCCCAAAAUGACUGGGGGCUUCUUUUACCGAAGCUUAAUAUCAUUCAGAGCCUGGAGCUCACAAUAUAUACGCCGUUUGCUCAUAUACACCUUUUUUGCCAUUAUAUGCACCUCUAUGACUUAAGUUUUAGCCAAGCUGGGUUGCCUCGCUCCUGUGUUUAUGCCCUACGUUCCCGAUUGUUCGGCUAGGGCGUAAAGAGAGCACCUCUGUGAUUUUUACAACCGGGUAAUCCGGACCUGUACCUCAGACGGGUGAAGCCGAAAGCUAGCAUUCUUAAGACAAUAAGUGGUCGAUAAUCAAACGAUAGAUUGUUACGUUCUUGUAACUUCUUAAAUGCGGGACAGUUCUUCUGUGCUGCGGAUCAAAGCCCAGGCACGCACAUUUAAAGCAUGCCAACCCAAGGAAAGGAACCCUUAACGGAACUAUUCUCCUUGGAAUAUGUUUCUUACAUAUGUAAUAUAACAUACACCCUGAACUCAAAUUUUUUGUCUGUUAGAGCACAAUGACUAGGUUGCCUGGUUUCCGGACAUAGUGAAUGCUUCUUUUCAUUCCAAAAUAGUAUCCGGAAACACUCCACCAUUUUGGUUUGGAGGUUAAAGCCGAAAGCCUGCGAUGACAAACUUUCCACAUGUUCGCAUAAAGGCACAGGUUGAUCAUAAAGUACAUUAAUGCAUCGAAUCAAAUGCCUAUUCCUUAUCUAUUCCAUCUAUAAGACUGUCCAACCUACAGUCUUCCUGUGAAUACUUCGCAGCCAUUACUUGGUCAUACACCAAAUUCAAUGGAAUUUCUUUCCCGUCUGGUCCCUGCGGUCCCACUCAGGCCAUAUGAUUAGGAUCCAGCUUGGUGAAGCGUGUUUUCACCAUCGCCCAGGCUUCUCGUGCGCCUUCACGGCAGGCAGAUAUCUUCCAUAGCUCAUAGCAGCGCCGGGCACCUCUGGACAGGUUUGCCAAGCCCUCCAUACUUUCUGGAGGGGUAUCGGGUGGCCAUAAAGCCUUGACCACACUCCUCAUGGCUUUCUGGGCCCGAGCAUGUACCGCGGACAGUUCCUUCAGCACGUCGCCUUGAAAUCCGGAUACUUCUUCUUCCGGCCGACCAGUUAGCAGACCUGCAGCAACAGAGUCAUGACAUUCCGAAUUAUGGACUAAACAUGAGCCCCUAUGGUGGUUUAAAAAAAGAGGGAAGACAUACCAAACAUGUCGCCCUUCAACCUUUCAUUUUCCUUCCGGACGGCCGAUAGUUGAGCCUUCAAGCUCUCUAUCUCUUCGGAUUGUUUGUCUUUUUCAUCCUCGUGUUUGUUCUUCUCGGACGUGCUCAUUGCGGCCUUUUUCAUUUCCGCCAGAUCGGCAGUGACAACAUUCAACUGCGUCUGGUUUGUUUUCAGCUCCUGGGAUAGUGUAGUAUUCUUUUUCCUUAAGAACCUGCAGGAUAAAUCGAUUCUUAAACCGGUUAUUCUCGCCGCUUCAAGUGUCGGGGGCUACUGGCAUAUGACUAUCAAAAUUGCACAAACUUUUACCUGUAUGUCCUUUGAGAACAGCUGAGUGACUCCGGCAAGUCCGUAUCGAGCGGCCCGGAUAUAUGCGUCCACCGAACUAAGUGCGGUAAAUUCCUGCUCGGAAAAAGCUGGAGCGCGCAUGGCUUCUUUCAGUCGACGGUGAUUCAUUAUGCUCUCCACCUCGGAAUUUGUGACGGAUAUGUCAUCCGAAUCUUCAUGAGGUGGGGGAAUCAGCAUUGCAUCGGCCCUCGUCCUAGCUGACGAGUCCGGCGCCAGAUUGGCUGACAUUCGGCGAAUAGGGCGUUUUCCCACAGUUGCUGCGUGCUCCUCCUGAAUCAUGAAUAAAAAGGGACUUUAGCAAUCCGAACUCGUGCUCAGGCAUGUAUCAAGCGGACAUACCUCUUGGAAGACUAUGAGGCCUCUACGGUGCCCCUGGUCUCUUUUUGUUUUAAGCGAUUACCCUGCACCGGGGCUGCUCUCGAAGGGGUGCGGCCCGCCGCGCACCGAUCCUAUAAAAUUACGGUUGGUAUAAGGGAUAAAGGCGCAAGUGGGGAUUUCUUUCUGAAAGAUCUUUAAAUACUUACGAUGGAGAAAGGAUAGGGGCGGGGAUAGUCUGCUAUGGAGAGGUUGGAUGCAUCUUUUUAUAGUAAUGGCCAUAACCUCAAUUAUCGAGAGCCCAGUAUGGGCUAAUAAUCUGACCUUGCUGACCAGCCUUUUUAUUUCUGCACUGUCCUCCUCCUUGGGACUUCGGGGACGCCAGUUGAGGCGCUUCUUUAGGGGAGCGCUGGAAAAUUCGGGAAGGCCGCGCCGAACUGGGUCCGGUAGUGGGACGUCAUCCAUGUAAAACCACUCCGAAGACCAUUGUGGAUAUGUCUCUUUGGGAGUUCCCACGGGGUAUCCGGGUCCGGCUAUACGCCAUACUUCGGCACCGCCCACUUCAAAUAUGGAACCUCCUCGAUGGCGGGGGACAAGACAAAAGAACUUUUUCCAUAGUUUGAAAUGGGCCUCAAUGCCCAAGAACAGCUCGCAGAGGGCAACGAAACCUAAGAUGUGCAGAAUUGAACCUGGGGUGAGGUUGUGCAGCUGAAUGUCAUAAAAUUCCAAUAGGCCCCUGAGAAAGGGAUGGAUUGGAAAGCCUAAGCCCCGUAACAGAAAUGGGACGAAGCACACCCUCUCCUCCUUAUUGGGGUUGGGGAAAUUUUCAACCAUUACGUCAUUGCCGAUGGAGGCCAAUCCCGCUCGAACGGAGACUAGAUCUGCGAGGGGAAGAUAGCCAUGCGUCUGGAGUCGACUCAGUUGAAGAUGAGGCACUGAGCAGCUUUGCCAAUCGCCCUCUUGAGGGCCAUGGGGACGCGAGGAAGAGCCUGGGGCGCUGGCCAUGUUUGGAGGCUUUUUGUGGCUGAUCUUGGUGUUUCCUCUGCUCGAUGUGGAUGGCACUUUGGAUUUGGUCUCUUUAUAUAGACGCCAUCCCUGCGUGGCUGGGUGUUUUAUUUUUAAUAAAAAAAUGGUGGACCGUUCGCAUUCGCUCGACAUGUGGAAAUCUAGGCGGCAACAGGAAGGAAUCAUAAAGGCAGAACACAGAGGUCAAAACCGGACUGUCGUCCAUCCGAAGUAUAAUGAAGAACCCGCCUUGCAAAGCCGAAGAUAUAAGCUGGAUACUACAUCAUCAUUGAAGGCAAGUUCGGGGGCUACUGAGGGAGACCUGGAUUCGGGGGUCCUCAGGUGUCUGGCCCACUCGAUAUGGGCCGGGCUGGUGGGCCGUGAAGAUAAACUGGAAGAUCAUUCCCCGUGUUCGGGUAGGACUCUUGGAUGCGUGGACGGAAAGAUUGGAGUCCGGAUGUAUUGUUUCCUUCCCUUGUAAACCGAUUAUGUACCCCUCCGGUGUAUAUAUAAACUGGAGGGUUAGGUCCGUAGGGAUCAUCAGAAUUCAUAUAGGCUAGACAUCUAGGGUUUAGCCAUUACGAUCCCGAGGUAGAUCGACUCUUGUACCCCAUAUACUCAUCAAAUACAAUCAAGCAGGAUGUAGGGUUUUACCUCCAUUAAGAGGGCCCGAACCUGGGUAAACAUCGUGUUCCCAUGUCCCUUGUUAUCUUCGAUCCUCAGACGCACAGUUCGGGACCCCCUACCCGAGAUCGGCCGGUUUGGACACCGACGGUACUGUUGUGAACUCAUUAUUUAUUUAUAUUGGUGUAAUAUCUACUGUAUUCCAAAUUUUCCAUGGUUCAUACCCCCCCCCCCCGAUACUAGCCAUAGAUGCAUCAAAAUAAGCAAACAACACGCGAAAACAGAAUCUAUCAAAAACAGAACAGUCUGUAGCAAUCUGGAUAUUUCAAAUACUUAUGCAACUCUAAAAAUCCUAAGAAAAUAGGAGGUCCUAGAUAAUGUGUCUAUUAAUCUUCUGCAAAAAGAAUCAACUAAAAAGCACUCUCCAGCUAAAAAUAAGAAUUGUUUUCGUGAGGCGCAAAAGUUUCUGUUUUUCAGCAAGAUCAAAUCAACUAUCACCGUAGGUUAUCCCAUAGGUCUUACUUGGCACAAACACUAAUUAAAACACAAAACCACAUCUAACCAGGGGCUAGAUGAAAUAUUUAUUGCAAAACAGGACCUAAAAAGUAAGAACAAAAAUAAAAUUGGGUUGCCUCCCAACAAGCUCUAUUGUUUAACGCCCCUAGCUAGGCAUAAAAAACACGAAUAGAUCUAAGUGUUAUCAUCUUUGGCAUGCAAUCCAUAAGUGGCUCUCAUAAUAGAUUCAUAAGGCAAUUAAUUUUCUUUCCAGGGAAGUGUUACAUGCCUUUCCUUAACGGAAAUUGAAAUCUAAUGUUUCCUUCUUUCAUAUCAAUAAUUGUACCAAUCGUUCUAAGGAAAGGUCUACCAAGAAUAAUAGGACAUGUAGGAUUGCAAUCUAUAUCAAGAACAAUGAAAUCUACGGGCACAUAAUUCCUAUUAGCAACAAUAAGAACAUCAUUAAUCCUUCCCAUAGGUUUCUUAAUAGUGGAAUCCGCAAGAUGCAAAUUUAAAGAACAAUCAUCAAAUUCACGGAAACCUAACACAUCACAUAAAGUUUUGGGAAUCGUGGAAACACUAGCACCCAAAUCACACAAAGCAUAGCAUUCAUAAUCUUGAAUCUUAAUCUUGGUAGUAGGUUCCCACUCAUCAUAAAGUUUUCUAGGGAUAGAAACUUCCAAUUCAAGCUUUUCUUCAAAAUAUUGCAUCAUAGCAUCAACGAUAUGUUUAGUAAAAGCUUUGUUUUGAUUAUAAGCAUUAGGAGAAUUCAACAUGGAUUGAAACAAGGAAAUACAAUCAAUUAAAGAGCAAUUAUCAUAAUUAAAUUCCCUGAAAUCCAAAAGAGUGGGUUCAUUGCUACUUAAAGUUUUGACCUCUCGAAUCCCACUUUUAUCAACUUUUGCAUCAAGAUCUAAAAACUCCGAAUCAUUGGGACGCCUUCUAACUAAAGUUGACUCAUCUCCAGUCCCAUCUUUAUCAAGAUUUACAUUGGAAAACAAAGAUUCAAUAGGAGUCACAUCAAUUACUGUAAGAUCUUCAUCAUUAUUUUCACGGAAACUAGAAGAACACACUUUUAUAAGCCAAUAUUUCUUAGCACGCAUCUUAGCGUUCUUUCUUUGCACUCAUCAAUGGAAAUUCUCAUGGCUUUGAGAGACUCAUUGAUAUCAUGCUUGAGUGGAAUAGAUCUAAGUUUCAAAGAAUCAACAUCAAAAGAAAUUCCACGUUCCUAGCCAAAUCAUCAAUCUUAAGCAGUUUUUCUUCAAUCAAAGCGUUGAAAUUCUUUUGCGAACUAAUAAAUUAUUUAACACUAUUCUUAAAUUCAGAGGGGAUCUUAUUAUAAUUUCCUUAAGAAUUGUUGUAGGAAUUACCAUAAUUAUUAGAGGAAUUACUAGGAAACGGCCUAGGAUUAAAAUUACCUCUAUACGCGUUAUUACCAAAAUUGUUCCUACCAACAAAAUUCACAUCCAUAGAUUCAUUAUUGUUUUCAAUCAAAGUAGACAAAGGCAUAUCAUUAAGAUCAAUAGGAGCACUCUUAUUAGCAAACAAUUUCAUAAGAUCAUCCAUCUUUCCACUCAAAACAUUUAUUUCUUCAAUCGCAUGCACUUUUUUACUAGUGGAAGAUCUUUCGGUAUACCAUUGAGAAUAAUUAACCAUAAUAUUAUCUAGGAGUUUAGUAGCUUCUCCAAAAGUAAUUUCCAUAAAAGUGCCUCCCGCGGCCGAAUCUAAAAUAUUUCUAGAAGCAAAAUUUAAUCCGGCAUAAAAAAAUUGUAUAAUCAUCCACAAAUUCAAACCAUGAGUAGGGCAAUUUCUAAUCAUCAAUUUCAUCCUCUCCCAAGAUUGUGCAACAUGUUCAUGAUCAAGUUGCUUAAAAUUCAUAAUAUCGUUCCUAAGGGAGAUGAUCUUAGCGGGAGGAAAAUACUUGGAAAUAAAAGCAUCUUUACACUUGUUCCAUGAAUCAAUACUAUUUUUACGCAAAGAUGAAAACCAAGUUUUAGCGCGAUCCCUAAGCGAGAGCGGAAAUAGCUUCAACUUAACAAUAUCAUUAUCCACGGUUUUUUGCAUAUCACACAAAUCAACGAAAUUAUUUAGAUGGGAUGCGGCAUCCUCAUUGGUAAGGCCGGAAAAUUGAUCUUUCAUAACAAGAUUCAGCAAAGCAGUAUUAAUUUCACAAGAUUCCGCAUUAGCAUCGGGAGCAAUCGGAGUACUAAUAAAAUCAUUGUUGGUGGUGUUGGAAAAGUCAUACAAUUUGGUAUUAUCUUGAGCCAUCGUGACAAAGCAAGCAAUCCAACACACGAGCACACAAAAAGCAAACGAAGAAGACGAACGGAAGAGGGGCAAAGAAAAAGGCGAAUCUUUUCGAAAAUUGUUUUAGAAGUGGGGGAGAGGAAAACGAGAGGCUAAUGGUGAAUAAUGUAAUGCGAGGGAUGAGAGUUUAUGAUGGGUACUUGGUAUGUCUUGGCUUGGCGUAGAUCUCCCCGGCAACGGCGCCAGAAAUCCUUCUUGCUACCUCUUGAGCUUGCGUUGGUUUUUUCCUUGAAGAGGAAAGGGUGAUGCAGCAAAGUAGCGUAAGUAUUUUCCUCAGUUUUGAGAACCAAGGUAUCAAUCCAGUAGGAGACUACGCGCAAGCCACCGAAUACCUGCACAAACAAAUACCAACCUUGCACCCAACGCGAUAAAGGGGUUGUCAAUCCCUUCACGGUUAAUUGCAACGUGAGAUCUGAUGAAGAUGGAUAAACAGUAAAGUAAUAUUUUUGGUAUUUUUAGUUUAUGGAACGAAGAGUAAAAGAUUACAAAGAAAGUAAAUAGGAAACUAGAAUUGUAGAUCAGAAACUUAUAUGAUGGAAAAUAGACCCGGGGGGGCAUAGGUUUCACUAGAGGCUUCUCUCAAGAUAGAAAAUAUUACGGUGGGUGAACAAAUUACUGCCGAGCAAUUGAUAGAAAAGCACAAAGUUAUGAAGAUAUCUAGGGCAAUGAUAAUGAAUAUAGGCAUCACGUCCGUGUCAAGUAGACCGAAACGAUUCUGCAUCUACUACUAUUACUCCACACAUCGACCGCUAUCCAGCAUGCAUCUAGAGUAUUAAGUUCAUAAAAAACGGAGUAACGCCUUAAGAAAGAUGACAUGAUGUAGAGGAAUUAACUCAAACAAUAUGAUGAAAACCCCAUCUUUUUAUCCUCGAUGGCAACAAUACAAUAUGUGUCGGUUCCCCUGUCACUAGGAUCGAGCACCGCAAUAUUGAACCCAAAGCUAAGCACUUCUCUCAUUGCAAGAAAAACGAAUCUAGUUGGCCAAACCAAAUCAAUAGUUCGAAGAGACUUGCAGAGAUAUCAAAUCAUGCAUAUAAGAAUUCAGAGGAGAUUCAAAUAAUAUUCAUAGAUAAGCUGAUCAUAAAUCCACAAUUCAUAGGAUCUCGGCAAACACACCGCAAAAGAGUAUUACAUCGAAUAGAUCUCCAAGAAUAUCGAGGAGAACUUUGUAUUGAGAAUCAAAGAGAGAGAGAGAAGAAGCCAUCUAGCUACUAGCUAUGCACCCGUAGGUCUGAGGUAAACUACUCACGCUUCAUCGGAGAGGCAGUGGUGGUGAUGCAGGAUGCCGGAAAAGGCCCCAAGAUGGGAUCUCGCAGGUACAGAAGGUUGCGGCGGUGGAAAAGUGGUUUCGUGGCUCCCCUGGAAGUUUUUGGGGUAUAAGAGUAUAUAUAUAGGAGGAAGACCUAGGUCAGGAGGCCACCGAGGGGCCCACAAGGUUGGGGGCGCACCCUCCACCCUUGUGGCCGCCUCGUGGCUCUUCUGACUUGCACUCCAAGUCUCCUGGGUGUUUUCUGGUCCAAGAAAAAUCAUCGCGAAAGUUUUAUUCCGUUUCUGCGAAACUCUAAAACAAGGAAAAAACUGAAACUGGCACUGGGCUCUAGGUUAAUAGGUUAGUCCCAGAAAUCAUAUAAAAUAGCAUAUUAAUGCAUAUAAAACAUCCAAAAUAGAUAAUAUAAUAGCAUGGAACAAUCAAAAAUUAUAGAUACGUUCGAGACAUAUCAGGGGGCGCCCCUAGCACACCCCAGACAAUUGUCUAGCCGUGUGCGGCGCCCCCCUCCACCGUUUACACCCUCAGUCAUAUUUUCAUAGUGCUUAGGCCAAGCCCUGCGAGGAUCACUUCACCAUCACCGUCACCAUGCCGUCGUGCUGACGGAACUCAUCUACUACCUCAACGUCUUGUUGGAUCAAUAAGGCGAGGGACGUCAUCGAGCUGAACGUGUGCAGAACGCGGAGGUGCCGUGCGUUUGGUACUUGAUCGGUUGAAGCGCGAAGAAGUUCGACUACAUCAACCGCGUUGAGAUACGCUUCCGCUUACGGUCUACGAGGGUAUGUAGACACACUCUCCCCCUCGUUGCUAUGCAUCUCCAUGGAUAGAACAUUGCGUGUGCGUAGAAAAAUUUUGGUUUUCCAUGCAACAAUUCCCAGCAGCUAUAAAAUGGUCAUCUCCAUAAUUAAGGUCGUGAGACCGGAACAAUGCAUUAGGUCCUGUGGAUCAUCAUUAUCUUAUAUUGUCUUCGCUCCUCGUAGAUAUCUCCACCUGUCACCUGAAGGUCAUGAAUUCACUAAACAAUAUGUGUUACCUAUGUAGGUCUUCAGGUUGCAUGGGCACUUAAAUUAGACAACACGCAUUACUCUCACCACGGAUAAAAAACUUAGUAAAUAAUUAUAAACUAUAACGAUGAAUGAUGAUGUAUAGAAUAGGCAUAAAUGAAUCUUACCAAUCACCGACAUCUCCCGCGCCUAUGGGGAAUUACUCUUGCAUGGGAGAAAAAUAAUCAAACAUCACAGAGAUUAAAACAAGGGCAAUCAUCAAUAACAUCACGAAGAUCCACAAUAAGAUGAAUGACUAAACAAAUCUCAAUCUCAAGAUGAGUACAAAUAGAGUUAUCAACCUUAGUCUUACAAACUGGAACUCCUCUCCCUAUGGUGAUGUUGCGACGACAGGAAAUGAAGAUGGGUGAACGAGAAGGAAUGGACCUCUGGUAGUUCUUCUUCUCCGGAUCUCUUCUCCCUCUGUUCUGGAUGGUGUGGCGGCGGCUGUGUCUCUCUGAUGCAGUCUCUCCCUUCACGAAAGUUGGUCGUGUAGAUGAGGUAGAGUUGGCGGCAACUGGUAAUCAGUGCGCUCGUACCAAAGGUUGUUUGCGCUCUAGACACCGGUGAAGUUUCGCCCACAAGAAAAGUUGCUCUAUUUGGUUUUAUAUGAUAAAAUAUUGAUUGGUUUUCUUACAAAAAUAUAUAUUUGUGCACAUCAUGAAGGAAAGCCAAUUUUCUUCUUUCUCGAAGGAUUAGUGUUAGAAAGACCCGAAAGUAUUAAAAACUCUGUGAGAACCACAUCAAACCCCACUUAUAAAAGUGACAAAAUAUGGAGCCAUCAACUCCCCCAAGCUUAAGUCCUGCUCGUCCCAUGCAUUAAAAUAUCUAGUUUUACACGCCCGGUCUCCCCACCCAUUUCCAAUGCUGGAGACGCGUGAACGGACGAGACUAAAUGGCUCUGACCCGCAUUCAAACCGGCUCACGUCCGUAUGUCGGCAUUAAACAGGCGUGACGAACGAGAAACCUACUCCGGUGCCCGCAUUGACACAGUCCACCGCUUGUUCUGGUCGGCACCUGCUAUUUUAGCGGUGCCUCCUUGGCCAGCACGACUAGCACCGGACCACCUCCGUCGUGAGCAUUUGAGAGAUGUGGGAGAGGCUCGCAACGGAAUGGAAGCAGGAGUUGGUCGGCAUUGCGGCCGCCUGGUAGGCCUGUCGUGCUAACCGGAUAGAGGUUCUCUUGUCGGCGAGCUCGCCGGAGGGCAGCGACGGGGCAAAGACGACAGACUAGGUGUACGACGAUGAGCUGGUGCCACUGCCCUCGUUGGUCCAUGCCAGCAUCGCCUUGGAGGAGGCAAGGGCGCACUUCAACAUCGCAAUGGCGGAAGAGCUGCAUGCGUCGCCGGUGUUGGUGUUCUCGCAGGAGGACCAAAGUACAACCUGCGGCUCCUCGACGAGCACCGGCUCAUGAAGGGGCAAAUCAUCGAUGAGCAGGCGAACGACCAUGUCGUCACGGCAAUGGUUACAGAGGAUCAAGACUUUCUGGAUGAGCAGCGGGUGAUGUAUCAGUCUCUGCGCACCGCCCGCGAGAUCCGCCACGAGCUAUAGCGAUCGCGCAUCCUGCGGAAGGAGAGGGACGUCUGUCCGCAAAGACCGCACAGAGGUGGCCGAAGUGGAGGUGCAGGCGAUCGCAGGCAGCACCGGUCGCGCCGCCAUCGCGGUUCGUGCCACACCGCCGUGACCACGAGGCCGGCGUCCACGUCUGGCAUGGUCGACAGGGCGCACUCCGGCGAGGAAGAGCAGCACACGGGACGCCCGCCACGGCUAUUCUUCCCCUCCCGUUGAUGCACCGUCGGCGAGCUUGCCACACAUAGAGAAGACGAGAUGUGUGACACGGACUCCGCCACGAUUGGCGAUUAUUUAGAUUAGGUUAAAAGACUAUCCCCUGCUUUUGUUUAUUUGACAUGUAUGAAAAACGUAAUGAGUUUGAUCUGUUUAAAUGAAAUCAUCUAAUUAAACCCAUUAAGCUAUGCCACGUGGCGCAAGCUGGUUGGCCGCGGUGAAAAAGCUUUUAGAAUAUUAUUUUUAGAUGAAGGUGAGGAAUUUUUUAAAAUGUUUUUUUUACAUGGAGGUGAUGAUCCCAUAUAUUUUUUUAAAUAGACGGCUACGCAAAGUGGUGCUUGCUGGUAGGCCGUGUUUGUGAUUUUUUUUUCUUUUUUACCUCUUUUUCUAGAUGGAGAUGAGGAUUUUUUAAAAUAUUUUUUUAGAUGAAGGUGAUGACUACAUGUAUUUUUUAAAUGAAAACGUGUACACAACUUCCUCUCAAGCGGCGCCACCAGGUGGCGCCCCAAAUGCAUGAAAUUUGGUCAUUUUAUUCAAAUUCCUUUGAAAUGUAUGGACACGGUUGGAUAAGCCGGUUUUCGCAUCAGCGUCCGUGAACUGGUCUGGACCAAUAUGCAGAUAAAUACAUGGCCGCGUUGGAGAGACGGUGACUCUUAUCUUCCAUUUCGCCAAUGAACCAUACGUAUAAUACAAGCCACUAAUCCCAGCUCGUAUUUUUUACUGGUCUCAAGUAGGAUUUUAUGUAAUCCAGCUCAUGCCUUGUUCAUUCUAGUCAACCUCGGCCCCACCCUGUCCUCCACCAAGGGCCAAGGCUCACCCAACCCACUCCAUGGGGAUCUCCGUCGCCGUCCCCUCCCUCCUCCUCCUCCUCUCCGUCGCCCUCCUCCUGCCGCCGGCCGCCGCGCGAUUCUCCUUCACCUACAACUUCACCGCCACCUCGGACUCGGCCCCAUCGGGCAUCUCCUUCCAGGGCGACGCCUUCUUCAACAAGUUCAUCCGCCUCACCCGCGACGAGCGCGUCGGGCCCCUCACCAGCAGCGCCGGCCGGGCCUUCUUCUCCCGCCCCAUCCCACUCUUCGACCCCGUCUCCCGCCGCCCCGCCUCCUUCGCCUCCGCCUUCUCCUUCUCCAUCUCCGCCCCCGAACCCUCGGCCGCCUCCGGCGACGGCCUCGCCUUCUUCCUCUCCCCGUUCCCCUCCGUCAUCCCCAACAGAUCCGCUGGCGGCCUUCUCGGGCUCUUCAACUCCUCCGCCCGCAACGGGGGCCGCUCCCUCGUCGCCGUCGAAUUUGACACCUACAGGAACGAUUGGGACCCCAGCGACGACCACGUCGGCAUCGACCUCGGGGGCAUCGCCUCCGUGGCCACCGCCGACUGGCCAACCAGCAUGAAGGACGGCCGCACGGCGCACGCGCGCGUCGCGUACGACGCGGAGGCCAAGAACCUCACCGUGGCCCUCUCCUACGGCGACUUUGUCCCCACGGACGUCCUUCUGUGGUACGCCGUCGAUUUGAGGGAGCACCUGCCCGACGCCGUGGCCGUUGGCUUCUCCGCCGCCACCGGCGAGGCCGCCGAGCUGCACAAGGUCCUGUACUGGGAUUUCACCUCCAGCGUCGACAGCAAGGAGCAGACGGUGGUGCUGUGGGUGGUACUGGGAUUGUGCGGAUUCCUUGUUGUGCUGGUCGGUGCAGGGAUUGUUUGGUUCGUGAAGGAAUGGAGGAAGACAGGAGAGUGUGUCCCCUACGUCGAUAUCGACGACGCAAUGGGGUACGACGAGCUAACUGACGAGUUCAUCGUGCAGAGCGGGCCAAGACGGUUCCGUUAUGCUGAAUUGGUGGCGGCAACCAAUAAUUUCUCCGAGCAGAGGAAGCUCGGGCAGGGCGGGUUCGGUGCUGUUUACCGGGGAUUCUUGAAGGAGCUUGGUCAGGAGGUGGCCAUCAAGAGGGUCUCCAAGGGGUCGACCCAGGGCCGCAAGGAGUAUGCAGCCGAGGUACGCAUCAUCAGCCAGCUGCGCCACCGGCAUUUGGUCCGGCUUGUCGGGUGGUGCCAUGAACACCGUGGUGACUUCUUGCUCGUCUAUGAGCUCAUGCCCAAUGGCAGCGUCGACCAGCACCUCUACGGCAAGGGCGUGCACCUCACCUGGCCGACACGGUAUGACAUUGCACUGGGCCUCGCGUCGGCAUUGCUCUACCUCCACGAGGAGUGCCUUCAGUGCAUCGUGCACCGCGACAUCAAGCCGAGCAAUGUGAUGCUGGAUGCCACCUUCAGUGCCAAGCUCGGCGACUUUGGCCUUGCCAAGCUCGUUGAGCAUGGCAGCCAGCCCUACACCACCGUCCUGGCUGGCACGCUGGGCUACUUGGCGCCAGAGUGCCUGACGACAGGCAAGUCAAGCCGAGAGUCGGACGUGUACAGCUUCGGCGUCGUGGCACUGGAAAUUGCUUGUGGACGACAGCCAUCGGAGCCCACGGCGGAGCCGAGCAAGGCGAGGCUGGUGCCGUGGGUCUGGGAGCUUUAUGGGAAGAAAGCCCUUCUCGAAGCGGCGGACUGGAGGUUGAAGGUGGAGUUCGAUGAGAAGCAGAUGGAGCAUCUGAUGGUGGUUGGACUAUGGUGCGCUCAUCCUGACUACACGCAUAGGCCAAGCAUCAGGCAGGCCCUGAAUGCCCUGAAAUUUGAGGCGGCAUUGCCUGUGCUGGCGCCGAAGAUGCCGGUGCCGACGUUCUUCCCUUUGCCUGACUUGGCUGCUCUGGUAUCAUCAGUUGGAGGUGCGUCCGACACGCAGAACCCAGGCGGCGUUACUGAGUGUGAGUCAUCAGGGGCUAAUGCUGGCAAAGGAUCUUCGGUGAGGGAUAGACUUCUGGAGCCGUGAAAGUGGUGGGUUUUGUGAAGCUGCUUUCACGAUGAUUUUGUUUGUUUCGUCUUGUGCUGCAACAUGGAGGUGUGAUUGAUUGUACAAUUAUAUUUGUAUGAGUUGAGUUUGGUUUGUAUAGCAGGGAAAUGUGUUGGAUUAUAUCGGUCAAAAGGACCGAACAAGAAGAAAUAUCCCAAGGCAGUUUGGGGUAUUAGGGUGAGUCAGGUGUUAAAGCUGAUAGAUUGCUUAUAACUUGAAUGUCACUCGUGUGAGAUGAUAGCCGAUACGAGCAAACCAGAUGUCAGAAGGCCAGACGCAAUGGCAAACCAACGGGACUAGAACACCGCUCAAACCUUUUAUCAUAUACAACCACACUGAACAGAUGCAUGUAAGCCGCAAGUAGAUUAGAAUGUGCUGAGAAAACUUGUACAAAUAUAAGUUAGCUAACGAUACUUUGCUUUGUUAUAUCUUCAUAAUAGUCAAACGACACCAUUGCAGCCAAUUGAAAGUUAACCUGAGGGUCCCUCCCUACUUGCAGUGCCAAAAGAAUUGGAUGGUCUAACAACCACAAUGACACCUUCCAACUACAAAAUCUCAACACCUGUACAAACUAAAAGCACUAGGCCCCUAUAGAAAUGCUAUUUGAUACCUCCCCUGAGAAAUAUUUAUCUAUCACUGCCCCUAUUACACCAUUCCAUGAGCAAAAUUGUGUUCCAUCUCAGGAGGUGAUGCUAAACCAUAAACAAAUAAUUCAAGUCGUCCACUGUCAGUCGAGUCUGACCGCCACCAGAUUUAUCUUCCCCAAAAGCUGAAGCAACCAUCUCCCGCUUUUUCUCCUG